rnacentral:lncRNA from 1 species
CGAGAGACGAAGGGUCGCGUUAGGCAUAGGGACAUAAAACAUAGACUUACAUCGUAAGUCAGUCUACAGAACCUAAAACUUAGGCUCUGAUACCAACUGUAACGACCCAACUUUUCUAGGUAAGUCGAGGUCGUUAAUUUUUGACAAAAGACUUUGGUUGAUACAAAAUGAAAUGUAAGCCAAUUGAAAAACAACUUUAAGUCAGGCCUGAUUUUCAAAUAUUCCAAAAACUUAAAAAAAGUACUAUUUACAAAUAAAAGUUUGUAAGCUAAGUUUCAAUACAACGUCUUAAACCUAAAAAAAACAAUAAGCGGAAGCAAAAUAACACAUUUCCUAUGGCAAUCACGCUUCCUUCCUGCCCUCGCCGGUUUGCCGCCUUUAUUACCUUUGCCUGAAAAUUAAACAUAAGAAGGGUGAGUAUAAAAAUACCCAGUAAGAGACCAACUGGUGAUUUAAUUAUCAAAGAUAUUAUGAUUUUGUCCAGUUUUUUUUCAGUCAUACUAGAAAAAUGGAUUUUAAUCAAGACAUUGUGUCGUUGAAAAUAAAGAAAAAAGAGGUGGGAUGAGGUACAUUGUGUUGUUGAAAAUAAAAAUAUGGAUUAUUUCUUAAAACAAUCAUAUUGACACAAUUUAAUUUAUUUCAAAACAAUUUUUUCGUCAUUAAUUAACAAUUCUUUUGUCAUUAAAAAAAAUUUCAAAUGAAAAAACCUCAAAUUUCAAAAAAGUUCGAAGUGGGCUACCGAGUCGUUAUGAAGAACCCUUGCCCUCCAAUUUUUUGCCACUUGUCGUCGUCGAUUCCACACUCCAACCACUGUUGUCGUUGCUCCCACAACAAGCCUUCGCCGUCAAACCCACCAAUCUAGCCACUUUCGUCGAAUAAAUAGAAAUAUAAGUUUUAAUGACACUUGAAAUCAAGAAAAAAAGAUAUGAGGGAAUAAAAUGUGUCGUUAAAAAUAAAAAUACAAAUUUUUUUGUGACACAAAUUGAGUUUUCUUGACAAAAUUUUCGCAUUGUAAAUAAUGGCAUAAAUUAUGUGUCAUUAAAAAUUACCCUAAUAAAAAAUCAAUGUUUUCCUUCAAUCAUACGCUUUUUGAUUUAAAACAAAUAAUUCGAAGCUUUCAUCCCACUUGUGAACAAUGACCGAAAAAAACCUUACUUCAUCCCACAUCGUCACUGUCUUUAGCUCUCUCGCAAAUGCUCUCUGGCGACGUUCCCCCUCUCUCGCAAAUACUCUUCACGACUUUUCCUCUCUCUCAAAAUUAAGCUCUUCGCCCACCGUUUGAAGGAACUCACCAAAUUUGCAAGUAAUUGAAGAAUUUGUGGUCCAUGAGAUCGAUUAAGUCCAUUUAUGAGUUAGUUUGAUUAUUAGAUUAGAUUAUGUCACAUAUACAUGUAUUACAAUUAAGGGACUUGCGAAAAUGGCAAAAUAAGUUAUAAUAAUUAAGUCCAUAGAACACAUACUUUAUUAUUUGAGUGACAAAAACAAAGACCAACUGUAACGACCCAACUUUUCUAGGUAAGUCGAGGUCGUUAAUUUUUGACAAAAGACUUUGGUUGAUACAAAAUGAAAUGUAAGCCAAUUGAAAAACAACUUUAAGUCAAACCUGAUUUUCAAAUAUUCCAAAAACUUAAAAAAAGUACUAUUUACAAAUAAAAGUUUGUAAGCUAAGUUUCAAUACAACGUCUUAAACCUAAAAAAAACAAUAAGCGGAAGCAAAAUAACACAUUUCCUAUGGCAAUCACACUUCCUUCCUGCCCCUCGCCGGUUUGCCGCCUUUAUUACCUUUGCCUGAAAAUUAAACAUAAGAAGGGUGAGUAUAAAAAUACCCAGUAAGAGACCCUCUACUGGUCCCGUCAGGGGAAAAAUAAAUUGUUAACAUUCUAUUGGGACACCCUGUACAGUCGCAGUCUUGUGAUCCCGUAGGAUGCACAUUUCAGUCUAACGCCCGAGGGACGUACAUUUCAGUGUAGUGUUCUGCAGAAACACAUAUCAGUCUAAUGCUCCCGAAGGUGCAGAAUAAUUGGUGAUCCCGUGGGACACCUACAAGGCACACAUCCCAAUAAAAGCUAACAAUUUUUCCCCUCAAUCCAUUCGUACCAUCUUUCAGUUACUUCAAAAUAUAAAGUUCUUUCACUCAACGUUCUAACAGUCAACUUAUCUCACUUUAGCCCAAUGUCUGUCAGUAACAUACUAAUACGUCAGUCAAUCAAACUAUAUAGUCAUAACGCCUCUCAGUUCACCAGCACACAGUCAUACUUUAGUAUAACGUACACCCAGUCUAAACGACAAUCACAAGUUCACAUCCGCAUCUCAUACAAACACAAUCUACAAUUGUCGUCCUGUCUACAUCCACACACAUAUAUAUAUAUUCCAAGACAAUCACAAUAUGCAUUCAACAUCAAGUCUACUUCAAUCCAUGUGUAUAUAUAUAUUUUCAGUCAUCCACAGUAUACAUUCAACACCGAACCUACAUCCAUACGUAUAUAUAUAUGUCUCAACACAUUUACUCAAUCAGAGGUGACUAACAUUACAAUUCAAAAGCAUAGGUGAGUCCAGUAGAAAAUAAAAUCCCUUACCUCACUUUUAUGCAAGUUCUUCAAUCUACUAAAUCCAAUGAAUCAAAUCCUAAACAUAAUCAAUCAUAAAAUCAACAUCUUUCUAAAUAGUUUCAACCAUUCAAAUUACCCCAUAUGUAAAUUCCACAACUUACCCAAGAAGUGGAAAAUCAAGUCCACUUCAACCUUUUGGAAAAUCAAGGAUUCGCUCACUGAAUCAAGAUGUACCUUCAAGAAUUAAGCAUUUCGCCAACAAUUAAAUCCAAUGGCAGCAUUCAACAAAAACCAAGAAACCAACAAAAACCAUAACUUGUUCUUACCCAAAUAUGAGCCCAAUGGUUCACGGCGAGGCAAAAAUGACAAUCAAGAACGAAUCAAGCGGCUGUAAAUAGAGCAACACUGAAUGCGACUCAACUGGAAAAGAAAAUCGGCUUCAAAUCGUAACUCCGUCUUACAACGAGCAGAAGAACGUCGACUUGAUAGGGGACACGUAAUUUAGGAAGAGAUCGACUUGGAUCCGUGUAUGACUUCACGAGAUGUAUGCGUCGACGGCUUCACGGAGGUGAAGACAGACGCGGUCGGAGAGUCGCGCGCAGUGCAGAAAACGGAGGAGAAAGGAACGGGCGGCGGCUGGGCUUGGCUUCGACGGAGACAGAGAUUGCGCAGCAGGUCUUCACGAACGGAGAGGAAAGGAAUGGGCACGGCGACGCAGAUCUGGACGACUGCUGCAAGGUGACGCGUACGGCUUGCUUCACGAACCGACCGACGAUUGCAGCGACGGAUCUGGGUUACGGCGAACUGCAAGGGUGAAGCACAUGCGGCGGCGAGGACCUAGACGGCUCGGCGAUGCAGAUCUGGACGACGAUUUGCUUUCCGAGGGAGCACGACGGUUGUGAGCGGAGAGGCACGGCGGUUGUGAGCGAAUGGGCGCGGCGGUUUCGAUCCGAAGGAGAAAAGGAAGACGACCGGAAAGAAGAAGAAGAAACGACCGGCAGCUUGUGUGGCCGACUGGGUGAACGGAGAAGAGAGGGAUGUGCGGCUGCUAGGGUACGGGAAGGAGAAAGGGAUGGAGGACGCACGGGAGGAAGAAGGAAGGAAAAUUUCUUUUUUCUUUUCUUUUAUUUAAAUAAUAAAAAUAAAACUAAAAUAUAAAUAAAUAUAUAUAUAAUAAAAUUUCUUUUUCUUUUCUUUUAUUUAAACUAAAUAAUAAAACUAAAAAUAUAAAUAAAUAUAUAUAUAUAUAUUAUAUUAUCACAUUUUCAAAUCUUCUUUCCCCCCUUCAACAUAUUUUCUUCAAAACAAUAAAUCUUGUACAAAUCGAAAAAAUCUCUUAAAAUAAAAUACCUUCGAGUUUGGGGCGUUACACCAACUCACACAUCAAGAGGUAAAAUGUCACAAAUGCCCUCGUUAUUGAUGUACAUUUGAUACACCUUAUACACGUCUGAUACACCUAAUACCUCUUGAUACAUUAAGUCCAUUUAUGAGUUAGUUUGAUUAGAUUAUGUCACAUAUACAUGUAUUACAAUUAAGGGACACUUGCGAAAAUGGCAAAAUAAGUUAUAAUAAUUAAGUCCAUAGAACACAUACUUUAUUAUUUGAGAAAAUGACAAAAACAAAGACCAACUCACACAUCAAGAGGUAAAAUGUCACAAAUGCCCUCGUUAUUGAUGUACAUUUGAUACACCUUAUACACGUCUGAUACACCUAAUACCCCUUGAUACACUUGAUACUUCUUACUGAUACACUUGAUACAUUUGAUAGAUACAAUUCAUGCACUCGGUACUCAUUGAUACACUCGAUACUUUUUGAUACACACCUGAAACAUCUUCAUACACAUAAUACUUCUCGUUCCACAUAAUACUUCUCGUUACACUUGAUUCUUCUUGAUACACUUGAUACCCCUGAGACCUUGAUACACUUGAUUAGUUUGAUACACUUAAAGACUUCACUUAUAAGUUUGAUACACUUGAUACACCACUAAUAAACUUGUUAUACUUCAUUGGUACACUUAACAAAUUCGAUAUGUUUGACGUACAUGCACUACAAGAAAUUUACCCUUUGUCGAUGACAAAUAUCGUCAGUAAAUCUUCAAAAACUAAUCAACUUUUCUUUUGCCAACGAAAUUAAGCUGUCAACACACACCGUCAGGUAGGUCUGUCGGAAGAUCCUCUAUCGAUGGCAAAAAAUAAACUGUCAGCAAAAAUAGGAACUAUCGAUGAAAUUGAACCAUCAGUGGGCGUGUGUGUGUGCGCUCGUGUGUGCGCAUGUCCACGUGUGCUUGGGUGUGUGUAUGCGCACAUACAUGUGUACGUGAGUAGGUGUGUGCGUGUUUGCGUGUGCAUUUGUGUGCGUGCGGUUUGGUGUGCGUGUGCAUGUGUGUGUUUGUGUGUGUGUGCCUAUGUUCGUGUGUGUGUGCGUGUAUGGGUGCACGCGCGUGCAAGUGUAUGUAUGUGUGUGCGCGUGUGAUUGUGUGUGAAUAAGUUGAUAUUUUUUAAUGUUGAGUUUCUCCCAAUUUUAAAACAAUAAUUUAAUUAUCUUGAUAUUCAAGCCAUUAAUAUUAUUGUGAGAUAAAGAUAGUGAAUAAGUUGAUAUUUUUUAAUUUUGAAAUUCAGUUAAAGUUAUUUUGAUACAAAAUCUAUUGCUGAGAUUAUCAUAUUCUGAAAAAUAAUAAUUUUGUUAUUUUGAAAUUCAAUUUGGUUAUUUUGAAAUUCAAAUUCAAUUAGGUUAUUUUGAAAUUAGUAAGAUUAAAUAAAGUUGAAGUCUUGAAUCCAUUAGUUGAGUCCCGAGAUAUUAAGAAAAAAGUAUGAUAUGAGUUUAUGUAUCUUUUUCAGGUAAAAAAUAAUUAAAAGCUGAUAAAUGCAUAAUAUAAAUUAAUUACAAUAUAGAAACAAGAUAAUUUUAGUUGGAGAAUGUGAAUAUUUUGGUAUUUUAUAAAAUAUUAUGCACGUGCAAAAAAUGUUAUUUGCUAAAAUUAACAAAAAAAGUUUUGCCAUUUUUCAAAAUGACCCAUAAAAAUGUUGCUAUAUCUCUUAUGACAGAGUGUAUAUCUACUGGUUCAUAUUCGACAUGUUUGUUGCUAAUAGAAUUGGAUAAAAUCGCAUUAUAUUGAAAUAAUUACACGAAUGACACUUUUAAGCCAAUAUUGGUAGAAAUUAUAGUUUAAUUAAUGUUAUUAAGUCAAUGAACAUGGUUUAAAAGUCCUUCUAAACACAAUUAAUGUAGUUGUUUUUUAAUUUUAACUCAUUUAUACAUCUUUAUGCAUAUGUGCUGUGUACGUGUGCGCGUGUAGGUAGGUGUGCGUAUGUGUAUGUGCGUGUGUUCGUGCGAGUGUCCGUGUGCAUGUGUGUGUGGGUGUGUGCAUGUUUGUAUGUGUUUGUGCGUGCGUGUGUGUGCACGGGCUAUUGCGUGUGUGCUUGGGUGUGCUCGCGCGUGCGUGUUUGUGCGCGUGUGCGUAUGUGUUUACGUGUGUGCGUUUGUGCGUACGCGUGUGUGCGUUUGUGCAUGUGUGUGUGCUUGUGCGCGUGUGGAUAGGUGUGUGUGUGUGCAUGCGUGCGCGUGUGCAUGUGUGUGUGCGUGCGUUCGUGCGUCUGUGGGUGUCUAUGUGUAGGUGUGCGUGUGCACGCGUGUGUGUAAGUGUGCAUGUGUACGUGUGUGCGCAGUGCUUCUAUGCUUGUGUGCGAACAAGUUAAUAUUUUUUAAUGUUGAGUUUCUUCCAAUUUUAAAAUAAUAAUUUAAUUAUCAUGAUAUUCAAGGCAUUAAUGUUAUUUUGAGAUAAAGAUAGUGAACAGGUUGAUAUUUUUUAAUUUUGAAAUUCAAUUAAGGUUAUUUUAAUACAAAAUCUAUCGUUGAGACUCUCAAAUUUCGAAAAAUAAUAAUUUUGUUAUUUUGAAAUUCAAAUUCAAUUAGGUUAUUUUGAAAUUAGUAUGAUUGAAUAAAGUUAUUAAUAUGUUGAAUUAAUUAGUUGAGUCUCGAGAUAUUAAGAAAAAUAUUAUGAUAUGAGUUAAUAUAUCUAUUUCAAGUAAAAGAUAAUUAAAAGCUGAUAAAUGCAUAACAUAAAUUAAUUACAAUGUAGAAACGAAAUAAUUACAGUUGAAGAAUGUUGAUAUUUUGGUAUUUUAUAAAAUACCAUGCACGUGCAAAAAAUGCUAGUUGCUAAAAUUCAAAGGAAAAAGUAGUUUUGUCAUUUUUCAAAAUGACCCCUAAAAACGUUGUUAUGUCUCUUAUGACAAAGAGUGUAGAUCUACUGAUCCAUAUUCGAUUUGUUUUUGUUGGUAAAAUUGGAUAAGACCGCAUUAUAUUGAUAAUAACGAAUGACAGUUUUAAGCCAAUAUUGAUAGAAAUUAUAAUUAAUCAAUGUUAUUAAGUCAAAUGAACAUGGUUUAAAACUCUUUCUAAACAUAAUUAAUGUAUUUGUUUUUUAACUUUAAUUAAUUUACACAUCCUUGUGUGUGUGCAUAUGUGCGCGUGCGUGUGCGUGUGUGGAUGGGUGUGUGUUGCGUGCGUGUGUUGUGCACGUGUGCGCGUGUGCUUGUGUGCGAACAAGUUGAUAUUUGUUAAUGUAAAUUUCUCCCAAUUUAAAAUAAUAAUUCAAUUAUCUUGAUAUUCAAGUCAUUAAUGUUAUUUUGAGAUAAAAAUAGUGUACAAGUUGAUAUUUUUUAAUUUUGAAAUUCAAUUAAAGUUAUUUUGAUACAAAAUCUAUCGUUGAGAUUCUCAAAUUUCAAAAAAUAAUAAUUUUGUUAUUUGAAAUUGAAAUUUAAUUAGGUUUUGAAAUUUUGUAAAUGAAUAAAAUUAAAAUCUUGAAUCAAUUAGUUGAGUCCCGAGAUAUUAAGAAAAAGGAUGUAUCUUUUCAGGUAAAAAUAAUUAAAAGCUAAUAAAUGCAUAACAUAAAUUAUAAUUACAACGUUAGAACGAAAUAAUUACUGUUUGAGAAGGUGAAUAUUUUGGUAUUUUAUAUAAUAAUAUCAUGCACACGUGCAAAAAUUCUAUUUGCUAAAAUUAAAAGAAAAAGUAGUUUUGCCAUUUUUCAAAAUGACCCAUAAAAACGUUGCUAUAUCUCUUAUGACAAAGAGUGUUGCAUCUCUGGUACAUAUUCGACUUGUUUUUUGUUCGUAAAAUUGGAGAAAUUGAGGACACAACUCCAAUUCCUAGCAUGUUUCUCUCCUAAGACUAUGCUGGUCCUAGUCGGGGAGUGGCAUUUACAUCCCAGAAAGACACACAUGUAUCACCUCGUGUUGGCACUUCCAUUGCAAUGCCACAACUCUGACAUAUAUAGUGCCGACAUUUCCUUCCUUAAGCUUGAAAAAAGGUGAUUUGAUGUCCAUAAAAAAUUAACUGAGCAGUUAGAUAUUUUCUAAUAUGUAUCUCACGUAAUUUGAUGCUCAUUGAUACUGCAGUACUGUGUCAGGAACGUGUUUGAUGUAAAAUCUUUCAGUUUUGAUGGAUCUUAUUACAAGCUUUCAACUCUUCUUAGCACGACUUCUGACAGAACAAAGGUUUGAUAUAUCUUUACACGAUCGCAUAUCACAUAUGAACGAUCGCAUAUCCCAUCUGAAAUAUCGAUCACCCUUGGUAAAACAACCGUUUAGAUAUUCUACACGAUUGUUUGCUUAAGGAUACACGAUCAUUUUGUAACUAUUUUUUUUUUAUCCUUUUUUCUUUCUAUACUAGAACCAGAAUCAAUUGUUUGAUGAUAUUAACAACAUGUAUGAUGAUCUUCGUGAUGAUUCUAGUCAUCACAAUCUGGAAGAAUGAUGACCAUCAAAAUAACAAACAUGUGAUCAUCCAUGAGAAUCCAUUUGUUCAAGAGUCACAUCUUCAAGAAUCUACUGUAGAAACUCAACAGUUAGUGUUUAAUUCAUUAGUUACCGCUUUAUAUUGUUUAAAAUUGCUUAGAUUAUAAAUAAACAACAAUAAUUUUUUUUCUUUUCUGUGUAGGGAACAAAAAUGAACAACGCCUCAACAUCAAGAGUAGUCAGGCAGUGAUAUUAGCAUAUAUGGCAGAGAUGCACAUUUGAUAUUAACUAUAAGUAAUAUAGCAGAAAAUAUGGAAGGUCAUACUCAAACAGAAAAGGGAUUGCUAGAAAUGAUUGAAAAUCUUCCGUUGGUAAGCCAACCACUUCCACUUUGUGAGAUGCUACCAUUAACUACUGUCAAAGGUCUUGCAUUAGUUUAAUUGGUAUGUGUGCCCUAAAGGGAUAAAAGCUCUUGGCAGUGAAAGAUUUUACAAAACCAUUCAUCAAUUUUAAUUUGAAAAUUCCAAAAUACCAGUACAUUGACAAUAUUUAGAAUCAAAGUUCUAAAUAAAGAACUAAAUAUGCUUUUAAAUUAAAAGAUACAUAGAACUGACUCUUGUUGACGUCUUUGAAUCUAUAAUCCACCGAAUUGGGGACACCACCCGUUGGAGACCUUCCUAUCUUCGAAGAUGAGAUUGGUUUGUGGAAAACAAUUGGAAUGAAAAAAAAAUUUAGAGAGAAACUAUGUAACACCCCCAAUAUCAAGGUAUUUCUCUCAAGCUAAAUUUUUAAAAUUUUAUUAAGAUUUUAAGGAAUUUGGUUGUGGUGUGGAUUUAGCAGGAAGUGAAGGGGGCUUUUAUGAAAAAAUAUACUAAUACUAAAGGUUAAAUAAUAAUAAUAGAAUUAAUGUUAUUAUUAAUUUAAAAUAUCAAUUCUUUAUUGAUUCACGUGCAACCCCAUCUCUUUCUCCUUCACUCUUCCUCUUCCCGUGCCCACCGCCACCUGCCUCCCUUAGCCAUUUUAUAUUACUCUUGGACGUCAGCCGGCCACGCCGUCACCGAUCCCUUCGUCUCCGUUGAAGCCGAAGCACCGUUCGUCGUGAGUUCGAACUCUCGGCAUCGCGUCUCACCUCUGUUUUCCAGCCAAGCUGUGAUUCAUUCGCGCGUAGCUCCUUCGACGUUGCGCCACCACAUUCUGCUCCAGGUGACGAGGAGCGUCACCGAUUGACCUAUCAUCUCACCGCGUUGUUACUUAGUUGAAGCAGCCGUCGACAGACCUGAGCCCGUCACGUCUGUUGAAGUGCCGUCGCGCGGCUCUUCACCUUCAGCCAUGGGUUGUAAGCUGAAGUUUGUUUUUCGUUUGUUGAUUAGAUCUGAUCUAUUACACGCGUCGAUUCCAGUUAUUCGAAGUUGUUGCCCCCAUUUUACUCUAAUUUUUGGGAUUUUUGUGGUAAGUUGUAUUGGUGAGUGUGGUGGUUUUACAUUGUAAUUAUCCUUGGGUUGUAGUUUUGGAUAAUUAGUUAAAUUGUUAAUUGAUUCUUGAAGUUAGCGUUUGAGUUCUUUGGAUUCACAACUAAGUUGUAGAUUUGUUGGAGUUCGGUUCGCCAAUAAAGCUAGAAUUUACAUUGAGGAAAUUAAAUGAACGAAAGUAUUGUGAAAGUAAUUGAGUUCCAUAUUCUUAGUAUUAGGUUUCCUUCGUUCGAGAAAUUUAAGUAACAUUAAAGUAAGGGGUUUCUAUUACUGGACUCUUUGAAAGUUUUGAAAUGUGUUGACUGUUUGGAUCUCUGGACUUAGUAUGGUUUACCAAAUAUGUAGAAGUAGAUAUGAUGACAAAUGUAUAUUAUGCCAGACUAGUAUAGAAGUAGAUACGAUGGAUAAUGUAUUUGUAAACUAAGAAAGGUGUUAUGUAUAUAUAUAUAUCUUGACUGUCUGGUGUGUUGUUAUAGUAUCAACUGAUUUUAUGAUAGAUUGAAUAGAUUGAACGUAAGUGUGUUAAGUUGGAUUGAUGAUAUGAUGAAGUAGUUUGACUAUACUAGGAAUGGAUUGAUUAAAUGUUUAUAAUGGACUAAGGGAAAAUUGUUAGCUUUGUCGAUUGGGUAGUGUGCCUUGCAGGUGCCUACAGGAUCACCACCUGUUGUGCAUUCUUCGAGAGCACUAGAAUGACAUGUGCAUUCUUCGAGAGCAAUAGACUGACAUGUGCAUUCUUCGAAAGCACUAGACUUACAUGUGCUUUCUGAAGAGCACUACUAAUAUUUGUGUCCUUUAGGGCAUUGGACUGAAUUAUGUGUAAUUUCUACAUGAUCACAAGACUUAUCUAAAGGUGCGAGGGCACCUCCAAGUAGGAAGUUAACAAUUUUAUUUUUCUUCAGUGAACCAGUUUGAUCAGUAGUGGGUCUCUUACUGGGUAUAAGUUUAUAACCAUCACCCUUUUCCAAUGUUUCCCAAAAGUCUUGGCCUUUCUGCGAAACUGCUCCAUAAGGAAAAUGUCCUUCAAAUUGACUUAUACAUCUUAUAUUUUUUUUAUUGCUGCAAGUUUUCUUAUAGAUCUAAUUUGAGCACUGUUUUGGGUUUCAUGAUCAUGAACGAUGUGUUAGUUGUUCUUGAACCUUAUCUUUAUUAUCGAUACUUUUAUCAACUUUACCAAAAUUUUAUUGGAAAUAGAGCCCGAUAUAAAACUCACUCUUAUUAAUGUUGUAAAAUGAAGAGACAUAGCUCAAUUUUUUUAAGAUUAUACAAAGUGCUAUAGGAUGGAGGUUAAAGAGACGAAUCUAGUCAUCUAAAGUAAGUUAACUUCAGCUUAGCAUUCGAAACACAUUCAGGUCGUUACAAUACUAUUUUGCAAUCAAAAGCCACAAAUCGAAUGCGAUUUUUAUGUUUGUUUUGCCUUAAGAAAAGACUGCUUUGUUAUCGGUUCUAGCAUAGUUGGAUAUGAUGACGGUGCUCUGGGGGUGUCUUUCUAGUUGAGAUGCCAAGGUGCACCCCCUGAUCCGGGGUUACAGGUUCAUUGAAUAACUCUCUUGUACUAGGAGCUUCUAUCUAACUAUUAAAAAUAUAUUAAUAUUAAUAAAGAAGUUGUCUCCUUUUCAAAAAAAUCAACUAAACUAAUUACACCAUUAAUCAAUUAGUUAAUAAUAUAAAUUAAAUCAAUAUUAUAAAUUAAUAUUUCCAAAUUUAAAUCUUAUUGAAUGAAUAUCUCUCCAAUACCUUAUAAGUUUUAUACUUAAUUUAGCAUUAAAUCCCAACAAAUAUUGAAUGUUUAAAUAAUAUUAAACUAACACUUCGAUUCAAUUAAUUAAUCAACUCAAAGGUGCUAAAUAUUUUUCAUAUUAUCAACUUAAAUGGGUUAAAUUUGAAGUCAUAUUACAUAAUAUGGAACUUUUAUCUCAAUAACUAAAUUAAAGUUUAAUUAUACAUACAACGUUAUCCAUAUAACGAUAUUAAACUUUAUAUUGAGCUAAAUGUAUCACUGUAUGAUUAUACUAAUUAUACAUAAUUUUCCAAUAAUAAAUAUUGAAUAUUUCAAAUUAGAACCAAUAUGAAAUCAAACUCAAACAACUUAUCUCAAAUUUUGCCUAUCAGUUCCAUUACUUUGUAUUGUCGAGUCGAAAUACAAUAAAUUAGGCAUCGAAGCCCUAAUACAUAAAACGAAAUAUACGAGAUGAAACUCUAAAAAAAAAAAAUGCCCUAUCUCGCUAUAACUACAAUGAGAUGGACAAAUAGACAUUCGUAUAGGCUAUCUAUCUCUAUCUAUCUGAAACUAAGCACACAUAGAAUUGUUCAUAUCUUCUCUAAUACCGAUGAGACAAAAAUAGCAAUCUAUUUAAUAUCUACCUGAGAUGACAAACAUUAAAAAAAAAAACCUUACCGAAGGGUUAAUAUAUAUCUUAGAAUACUUUAGGUAUAGACUAAAACAUGCUAACACGAUUCUCAAGCCCAAAGAAGUUCAAAACUUAGCACAAUCUUCAUUGCUUAAAAGUAGCUUUACUUCUUUCAUCAAUAACCACAUGUUUGCCAAUACAUCUCUAAAUUGAAGCUAAGCAUGGUAGCUACAGGUCAGUUCUCUAAGAUCUUUAAAAACUAAAUUUACACUGUCUACACAAUUUGAUAGUCAAUUCAUGUCUAGAUAUCAACUUGAAACUCAUUUUUGUCAUACCUAGAGAGUAGAUUCAACCAAUGGCUUAUCAAAUUGUUCGAACUCCUUGGAAUCUAACAUGUAUGAUUUAUACUGUCUCACCUUUUAAUAUCUUUACUAUGUGUUCUUUUGCCCAUCCAAGCUUUCUGCUUAAUAUUAACUCCAAGCAUUUGUACAUGCCUUAUGCACAAUUGCUUUCGGAAUGAAUACGAUGGCAGAAGUAGACAUGAACUUGAACUGCAUGCUAUCAAGCAACUGUCAAUCUAACCUGUUGAAGAAGCUUGUCAUAAUGACAACUAAUCAUUCAAUGAACGGUCUAUUGUUCGAUAAUUCUACUUACUCCAUCCAAUUGAAUCUGUUCUACGAUAUUAAAUACAAUGUAGAGAAUCUAAAGGUGAUUCGAGACAUUCGUACCAUUAAAUUUCAGCAACUAAGUAAUUCAUUCAUAACAUAGUUAACAUCCACUUCCAUUGACCGUCCAUUAAAAAGACAACUUAAAUCGGAAAGAGUACCAUUAUAAUCGUUUGUAAAAAAAAAAAAAUCUUCUAGAUAUUAUAAGUCUAUUUAAUUCUGGGAAUAGAAAAUGAAAUAGAAUAGAAUCAUGAGAUUCUAUACAUUUAUUACUGAAUAAAAGAAUAAAUAUGUACAAACUACUGAUAAUACUAAACACUAAUGCAUUAGUUAAUAAGUAAACGAAAUCGAAUGCAAUGAAAUAAUAUUACAUUAAACGAUCCUAUUAACCGUGAUAAACGACCAUUUACACAACGGUAAAUGACUAAUAUUUGACUUAAAAUAAAUUUGAAUCGUGUUGAAACAUGGGUUUAUCACGAUCAUUAUGAUAUUGGUGCAAUUCGUAUUGAAUUAAGAUGUAAACUCAAUCGUCUAUGUUAUCGGUCACACGAUCGUGUUGAAUCAUUUGUAAAGUUGAAUUUCUAUUGUAUAGUUUGGUAAACUGAUCGUGUAAUGUCUCACUGUAAAUUAUCGUAAAAAACUAGUUAAACUUAUCGAUCUUUAAUUACAUGAAGUACAAAUAAAUCUCAUUACCCAUUAAUACUUAAGAAUUUGUUGUAACGAUCCAACUUUUCUGAAGCUAAGUUGAAGUCAGAUUAAUUUGGACAAAGAGACCUUGAUUGACACAAAUUAGCUUUAUGUAAAAUUCACUUGAAACUCAUAACUGAACUCAAAGAAAACAAACUAUAUGUUCGGGCCCUAUUUCAAAUAGACCAAAACUUUAAAAGUACUAUUUACAAAACAACAGUUCGUAAACUCCAGUUCCAUCAACAAAAUUCUUUAAACCAACCUUACAUGUACAAAGGAAAAACCAAUGAAACACUAAAGAAGAACCCGUUUAUUGGUCCCAUUAGGGGAAAAAGAAACUGUCUAACUUCCUAUUGAGGGUACCCUACCACAGUUCACAGUCUUGGUGAUACCAUGUAGGAUACACAUUAAUCAGUCUAACACCUCAAAGGACGCAAUAAAUCAAGUCUACUGUUCUGCAAGUAUAAUCACAACUAUCCAGUCAGUAAUGCUCUCGAAAGGACUGCUACAAUAUCAGGCUCUAGUGACUAUCAAAGGAUGCACAUAUUCAGGUGGUGAUCCCGUAGGACACCCAGCAAGAUGUAACUACCGAAUAGAAAUCGUCAACAAUUUUCCCCUCAAUCCAAUUCUAAACAUUCUUAACACUCAUUCAUAGUACAGUCCGAGCUACUUCAACAUAUAAUCCUUUCACUUAACACCCUGAAAUAGCUCAUACCUAUCUCACUUUAGCCCAAUGUCCAGCCAGUAACAUAUCAAUACAUAACGUCAAUCAAACGUCAAUAUAAGUCUAUAACACCCCUCAAUUCACCAGUACACAGCCCUAAACUUUAGUAUAACCUACACCCAAUCUAAACGACAAGAAAUUUCCAAACAAGUAUCACAUCCACAUUCCAUUACAAAACACAAUCUUACAAUUGUCGUCCUGUCUACAUUCCAUACAUAUAUAUAUAUAUCCCAGACAAUCACCAAUAUGCAUUCAACAUCAAAAGCGUCGUACAUCAAUCCAUGUAUAUAUAUAUAUUUUUCAGUGCAUUCACAGUAUACAUUCAACACCGAAGUCUACAUCCAUAUGUAUAUAUCAUCGUUUUGAUUCAUUCAUUUACCUUCAACGUCAGUCAGGUAACUAUACAGACAGCACAAUUCAAAAUCUAUGAGGUGAGUCCGUCAGUUCACCGUUAGAAAUGUGUAAUCCCUUACUCUAUUCGAUAACCUGUAAACACGUUAAGCUUCCUUUUGUCAAACUAAAGUUGCAACGAACCUCGACUCGUAAACAUAAUUGAAGAGAAAUCAAUCACUUUCUUCACAAACUAAAUUUAAUCCAUUUCCAAUUUUCACUCUAUGAUGUAAAUUUCCAAUAACUUACCCAAAUUGUGGAGAAUGCAAAUUCUAACGGAGACGGAUCGAUGCAACAAAUAACCGAACAAAGGUUCAGCAUUCUAAACAUGAACAUGGGGAUACAAGUGACUAGAACUGUAAGAUGUACUCGGGCUAACAAGGUUACCAUGCGAGCGAAUAGGAAAAAAUGGUUGCUUGACGGAUUCUAAAGUGUAGGAUUGUGAAGACGGUGGUGAUAGUUUGGUACAUUGGAGAAGGAAACAGAGAAGGAAGAAAAGAGAGAUUAUGCUAUACACAAUGUGAGAAGCACACAAAAAAAUUGAAAAUAAACUUCGAAAAGAAGAGAGAGACCUUGAAGUUCUGUUAGGGAGAAAGUAUUCAGUUUCCUGUUUCAAAUUGUGAAGUAUGGCAAAGCUAAAUUCUUCAUCCAAGGGAUUGAAAUAGACAAAGGUUAUGAAAUAUACAAAGUCAGCCAUCCGCUUCUUCUCCUCUUCAGCUUUGCAUGUUUUCGUCUCCCUCAUCUUCAUAAUAUAUUAAACAUAAAUUAAAUGUAAAAUAUCCACGAACCCGAAUCUUUACACGACAAGACUAUUUACUCCAACUUUUUAAGAGCUAACAAACUAUUCUACUCCAACUUUUUAAACUACAAAUUUAAUUUCUCAACUUUUAAACUAUUUAUAAACUUACAAAUCUACUUUGAUUCAUCUUCUUCAGGAUCUUGAUAUCUAACAUAAUUUAAAAAAAAUAUCAAAAUUUAAUUACGAGCACUUUAAAAUGUUGCAUUAAAAUCCUAGGGAAAGACCUAGAUUAAGAGCAAUAUAGACAAGGUUUAAGAGGUAACUAGACACACUUUAAAAGUUCUAAGGGAAAGAAUCUUUUGUUUAACUAUUACAGUAAUUAAUUUUGAAAAUAUGUUAUUUUAGAAAAACUAAAGUUGUUUGACAACUUCUGGAUUGAAUAGCUAUUGAAUAUACUCUCAAGGAUUGUAUUUUAAGCAAUUUUAAUAAAAAGAAAGUCUAACAUAAAACACAGAUUACCCUUUGUUAAAGGAACAUUUUUUCUCUAAUCACGUUCCAAUGGAACAUCAAACACGUAACUUCAAGUUCAAUUCUGGUAAUAUCCAAUGGAAUCAGUCUCAUCCAGACAUUUAAACAAGAACACUAUCUAACUUGAUGAGAACUUCAUUUUUACCUCAUAUUUACAAUUCCCAAAGCUUUAACUUAAAUGAAGGACCAUAUCCUGAAAACAUACUUACAUCCAACUUUCUCCAUGAAUAAACUUAUCGUUCUUUUGAUGUACUGAUGAAUAUUAGAGAUGGAGCGAUCAGAGUUUGUUUAUGUACCAAAUUAGAGUGAGUUGAGAAAAGAGUGGAUUUAACACUAAGGACGAAAUGGCUGGCUGCUGCUUGUUCAAAACUGAAAGUUUUUAAGGGUGACCUUGUACUUUCAUAGGGACUCAGCAAAUGCUGAAGGGAAGCCUCCAGGUCUAAGACAAUUCGAGUGGAAUAACUCUCAUUACUACCAUGCCAUUUAGGAACUCAUUCAACGUUAGAAUAGUCCAUUAUCCUAGCUUUUGAUCUACGGCCACCAAUUGGCUUCCUAUCCUACGUCUUCCUCACAAGCCACAAAGAUCGUUCUACUCCAAUACGCUUGUUUACUUUACUCUCAGUCAGUCAGUUAGAAUCAGAACUCAUAAAUUUAUCAAGCAUAAUGAAUUUGGCUUCAAAGAUUGAGCAGAAAAAACUUCUCAUGUAUAUACUUGACAAGGUAUUGAAUUUGCAAGAAUGUCACCCUUAUACAAAAAAUUAUUCAAACAAAUUUACAUUGUUCUAGUCCCUAAAAUUUUCCAUUCUUUUCCCAACUUAUCAAAAUUUUGAUUCCUAUGAGACUAUAUUCCAAGGUGCACAUAUAGCAGAAAUGACCGAUGAGUAUUGGAUAAAUGAAUAUUAGUUGAUAAAUGUUAGACUUUACAAAAUACUAAAAUCGUUAGUUGGCUACGUCUUUAGCUGAAAGUUCUCGAUCUUGAUUAAAAUGGAUGUUUUGAAAGUUAACUAAGGCUAAAAUGGAUACUAUCUAAAUCCAUACAUAAUUUAGUAAGUCUUUCCAAGAUCAAAGUCACAGCUAAGAGGUUGCCAUAACAAUGUUGCCAAAGUAAGAAAAUGGCAAUCUUAAUCAUAAUUAGAAACAUGAGAUGUAUGUUAUUUAGUAAACCAAAUUCACAAAAUAAUUAACAUCCAAGUACUUUUUAGUUCGUAUAUUUCUAGAUGACAAUUAAAAACUUGAACAUUAAUUGUUGAUUAAUUGAAACAUUGAAACCACGUGAUAAGAUGUUGCCAUAUGAACCCAUCUUGACUUGCUAUAGUACUUUAUUUUACAUUACAUGCUCAAUUCCUAGUUUGUAUUUCAAAACAAAUUCAUACAAUAUUAAAGACUUUAAGAAGCACAUACACUCUAGAUUUUGGCUAGUGUACUCGAAUUGUAAACAAGUGAUGUAUGGAACAGCAUCGGAGAACACGUGUUGUAACACUAGGAUUAGUACAGUAGGAUGGUGUUGACUGAAACAAUGUACUGUAUAUGACUAUAUGAAAUUUCUAUAUAAAGUUAUCGAAAUGAUCAUACAUAUAUGAUUAAAUGUUAAUAUAUAUUAAAACUGUAGAAUUCUAGUCAUGCAUAUUCCUGAUAUUUUUUAGCCACACUACAAGAAUGACACAGUCAACACAUGUACUAUGAUUUAAUUGACCCAUGAUCUAGAAAUUCGUGAUACGUGCUUCAUGUUUGUUGAAGAACUUCAACGUCUUCAUUAGAUGACGGAUUAGCCAUGUCAUUAAUAAGUGGAUUCUAUAUGUAAUAUAGAGAACCUAAACCAUAGUAAUCGAGACCGUUUGUACAAUAACAGAGAACUUACAUUCUCCACCGGUUUUAAAUGACUUGACUACUCAAGGACUUGACGAGUUUUAAGUGUCAUGGAUGGUUGUAGACGUGACGCUGAUAAACUGCAAACAAUCGCUAUACCUGACGUUCAAAUAAAGUUCAAGAACAUUGACUUUCUUGCCGCUGGAGUCAACUGCAGCUUUUAGGCUGGCUCGAAUACUGAUUCUUGAUAGUGUAAAAACGUCAAGAGAGUCUAUCAUUGUAGUAGUGAAUGAUAGGCAUACUCAGUCUGCAGAUCAAUACAGGAUCAUUAAUACAAAUCACAAGACAAUCUCUAGCGUACAAGAGAUGAAAAUACACUCAAGUGGAAGACUAAAUUACAUAGGUCACGCUUGUGAUACUAGCAAGCCAAUUCGAUACUGUACCAACAACAUCUGCCUUCCCGUUCACGGUUUCGUCUAUUGCAACCACACUGGAUAGGAGAAAAUCACAAGCAUCUGAAGUACAUUUGCACAUUAGAUCAUUGCAAUUUUAGUAAAUACAAGAUGAGUAGUAAUCAUAAUGUUACCAGGAUGAAGGCACCCAGUCUUAGCCGUAUACUGUACACACUUGAAGCCGACAUGGUACAUUGAUCCAGUAUGUCUCGAUAAUCUAUUGAGAACUUAUUAAACAGGAGAAAAUAAUAGUUUAAUGAACAGUAGCUAUGAAGAACAAAAAACAUUCUACAAUCAAUAACAAUCUUCACAAUAACAACACUUGCUUAACAAUGGUCAAUGGAUUAUACUUACAAUAUAAAAGGUUUAAGAUAUUACGUUCAACACUCUCCACACUUGGACUGAAAGUCUCAACACUUUCACAUGAAAGAAAUGAAAUACUACUCUCAAAUUAUAACUGGAAAAAAGCAUAAAUGGGUUACAUAGAAAAAGCAUAGAGAAAUGCAAAAGAAUCCUUGGCUUUGAUAUAUUGAAAGGUAAAGAAUAUCAACCAUAGAUGCCCGGGAGAAGAACUCCUACAAAUACACACUUAACGCAGAUUAUCAUUCGCUAACAUGAGACCUUCUAGAGGAAUUCUGUUAGGAUACUUCCAAACAAGAACAAGAUCUUAAUUUAUUAUAAUGAACUAUAAGAAAAUACAAGAUAAAACCAAGUAUAAGGCACUUGGAACCUCCCUCUUGAGUACUCUCACCCAAGCCCUAGAUCACUCCCCAAUUCUCCCCUCACUUACCCUCCCUCCAUUUAUAAUAAGAUGUAACCACACUUACAUAAUAACUACUAGUAACUUUCUAAAUAUCUAAUUACCCUUAUACCCCUAACCUUAUAAUAAUCUAAGUAUCUAACAUUACCCGAUCCUUCAAAACACCUUGUCCUCAAGGUGUGCUUACAAACAUGAUCAAGGCCCCUUUCUCUUUUUUUCUCUUUUUAAUUGCAAACAAUCCCCAGCAUUCUGCUCUUCAAUGUUGAAAAGAAAUCCUCCCUUCGGCUUUGAAAAACUCUUGAUUCCAAUAAGGUCCAUUGACUUCAGCCCACAAAGCAGCCCAAUGUACUUGAAUUUUCCUUUUCCAAAACACAUUGUCUUAGUUAACCCUUUGCAUAUCACCAACAAGUGUUUAAUUUUCAAACUCUUCAUCUCUAGUGGGCUCGGCCAUAAUCAAAGUGUUGCGUCAAGACCAAAAUCAUAUUGCCGCCGGUUUCAUUCCUAGGACCCACCUACAUACACGUUUUUCUUCCCUCCUAUUUUUGGAACUCUCCACCCACUUCAUCUACAAAAUGAUGUGCCCCCAAUGUUUUAUUUAGAAUAAGUUGAAGCUCAUUUAGAGUAAGUUGAAGCCCACUUGAAAUAGUAAAACCCAAGAUUGUUACUUUUGUCCUAAUCCUCUUUCCUACCAAUUUCUACCACGUCAUUGUCACCAUCAUGUGUGCAGCAACUUCUUCCUCGUCACGUGAUUCACCCCUAUUCCAGACCACCUUCUCGAGCCUCUGUAGACCGGUAACUGUCGGCUUCUUCUUUCUCCAUUGCAACCAGCCAUUUUGUUUUCUUUGAGCAACAAAUUUUUCUCCACUCGAGUCUUCAUUUCGAGCCUCACAGGUAAUCCUCGUCGACCUUCCUCUAUAGUUUCUUCUUGGUCACUCUUUGCCAUCCUCUUCACCUUCGUUGUAUAACCGUUGCAAUCGCGUUUUCCUCGAUUCUUCUAUGGAUUUAGCAACUUCUUGGAAUCCAUCGAUUUAUGGACCUGAAGAUUCCAAUCCGUUCUAAAUAAACACAAUCCAGAUCAGUGCCACUGAACACAGGCAUUUCAACCUUCUUGAAUUUGCUAUGAUCGUUCGAGUUUUCAUCCCUUUUAAAGUUGUUUGUUUUACCUUCUACCUUGAUUUCCUUCAAUGUCUUACCUCCACCUUCGAUGAUACUCUCAAUCGUUGGUCCUUUGCUCGACGAUCCUUCCAUUCUUUCGGAGAUUUUCGAAUUAUCCUUCUGCUAUUCCUUCGAUGCAUUUAGCAACCGUUCUUGUUUUUCCAACUAGAUGACCAGUCUUUCGAUGCUUUCUGGCAAGGAUAACAAGUUUUAUUCAAUUGCCAGCAACUUGUGUAACUCCACUUGUAUCCCCGAGAUUUCCUUAUCAGAGGUCUCCAACUUCUCUUCGAUCCGUUUUUGUGCUGCUCUAUCGUUCUCCCAAGUUAAAACGCUGUACCAAUUUGUUAAGAUACUGUAAAUAUACGGCAAGUGUAUCUUACUUUAUUGAAUUACCUCAACGAAUUACAGUAUAGAGAAUAAAAAAUCACUCACAUCUACUUCCUAAAGGCACACUCCAGUGAGGAUCACAACAAAGAACAAGAAAAACUAAGAACAAACCGCAACCAUGAAAAUGACCAAAACAAACAAUAAAAAGAACUUGACUUGGACCCUCUACUUCUCCCAAGCACGAAAGACGGCAGCCUCUACUUCUUUGGAAUAUUUUGUCCCCUUUCUCCCUCCUCUUUCCUCCCUUUUAUUUUGCUUUACUAACAAACUAAUGGGAAAGAUCUCCUCCGAUAUUUCUCCUCCUAUAAUCUCUCCUAUAUUCUCGUGUGGGUCAAUAUUACCCUUUUUAAUUCUUCUACUGUAUUUAAAUAAUAUUGGAGACAUAUACUUCCUAACAAGAACAAGAUCUGAAUUUAUUAUAAUGUAACUAUAAGAAAAUACAAGAUAAAACCAAGUAUAAAGCAUUGGAACCCUCCCUCUUGAGUACUCUCACCCAAGCCUUAUAUCACUCCCCAGAAUUCUCCCAACUUACCCUCCCUCCAUUUAUAAUAACAUGUAACCACCCUAGUUACCACACUUACAUAAUAACUACUAGUAACCACACUUACACAAUAACUACUAGUAACUUCCUAAAUAUCUAAUUACCCUUAUACCCCAACCCUAUACUAAUCUAGGUAUCUAACAAAUUCCAUAACAUAAUGUAUUAGGGGAAGAAGGAAAUCGAGGAUAAAAACACUAGCUAGCCAACAAAUAUCUUUCAUUAGUGAGCUUGAGCCAUUUUACACGUAAAAUGGGAAAAGUAAGCCUGAAACCCAAAUUAGCCUAAUGGUUGUCUUAACAACCACUACCCACCAUCACGAUAGAAACAACUGAGAAGGAAGAGCAUGAUACAAUCCAACUCAAACAUAAGAAUUGAUUUUUGUUUAAUUAAAAGUAAACAGGCAGUAGAAUAAGAAACUAUGCCCUUUUAGAUCUAGAAGGUUCACAACAAUUUCCAGCCUAAGCACAACUACGAGCAAUGGAAGAAUAACGCAAAGGCCUUGUGUGCAUGGAAUCGCUAACUUUGUGCAAAUGAGAUGAUUAUCGGUAUUCAAAGGCCAAAAGGACACAUAGAAGAGUGUUCGUCUAAGGUUGCAAGACUAACCCUGAAAAGAGAGCAAUACAAAAAUUUAGAGUUUUCCGCAUUUCCUGUAAUGACAUGAGUGCUUGUACUCCCAUCAGCAGUGAGAGAACCACCAAGCUCCUCAAUCAUCUAAAUCAGAAAACAACUGCACAUUAGAGCAGUCACAAUUUGGAAUAAAUAGAACUUUUUAUUGUUAGAAUCUUAGAAUAUUUAUGAAAAGUUUAUGGGAAUAUUUUUCUUAAUUCCUAAAUAUUUUCCUUUUUUAUUCCUCUGUAUAUUCUAUUUAUUCUCCCUUGUACCUAUUGUAUUUUUCAUCAAAAAUAAUAAGAAGAAAAAUAUAGUGGUUUUUCUCCUGGUACACAGGUUUCCACGUAAAGUUGUGUGUUUUUGUCUCCCUUUCAAUAUGGUAUCGAGCAGGUGGUCCAAGAAGGUCUUGUGUUCAAGCCUCGCAUUGUCGUUUCCUCCCCAAUUAAAAUCCAUUUCCAGUUGUUGGGCCUUUCAAAUAUUUCAAGCCCACAAGUGAGGAGAGUGUUGGUGAUAUAUAAUUGAAUUUUCUUUCUUUUUUUAAAAAAGGAUACGAGUCUCACUAUUAUUAAUAUAAAGAAAGAGACAAAGCUCAAUGUACAUGAGGAUUAUACAAAGAGCAAAAGGGGAGAGGGAAGAUCAACAGGCGCAUCCGGGCAUCUCAAACUAGGUUGACACCCCCUUAGUGCCCUCAAAACAUCCAAAAAGCGACAACACAAGAUCAAAACAAAAAGCCACAAAAACAAAGACAAACAAAAUGAUAAAAAGAAUCUUUCCAAAGCAAAAUCAUAAUCCAAGGCAGCAUGCUGAGAACAAAGAAGAAUAAGCCUUGAUUGGUUGAGCAAAAACUGUUUGAAGCAGAGGGUUGAUCCGAAAGUUCUGAUCAUCACAAUAUCCUACGUCGAAGAUCUUCUUUUGCAUUACAUUUUCUAAAAUUUCCAAUCCACUCUGUUAAAGGCCUUUUCAAGGUCUAAUUUAAUGAUCCAUCUUUUCUUUUUUCGGAUACUAUAGACCUCCACAGUUUCUUUUGCUAUUAAAAUAGGAUCCAAUAUUUGGCACUCUUCCAGAAAGCCACAUUGUAAUGGAGAAGUAUGUUAGGAUUCUAACAAUAAAACACAAAAUAUCCUAACCAAAUGGCUAAACAGAGGCAGCACUCUGUAAUUCUUUAUUUAUGUAAAAGCCAAAACACAUUCAACUGUAGUAGAUAUGAAAAAUAAAGGAUGAACAACAUAGAAAACUUACCCAGCUCCUUUAUACGGGGCUGGAUACCCUCAGGCUACAACAGCCUUUACUCUCCUUGAAAUAACCAAAAAAGACCUAGCCUCCCCUACCCCAACAUUACAUAUUUAUACCUCUCUCUCUCAUCCCUCCUGGCGGCCCCACCUGCACGAUCCUCUCCCAUUAUUCUCUCAUCAUUGGUUGCUAAGGAAUUUCCCUUUCUACCGUUCCUUUUAUAGGUAUAGAUAAUAGGAGGUCUUACAAAGUAAUACUGGCCUGACUUUCUUUAAUCUUUCUGCGAGAACCUUUCCAAACAACUUAUAAAUUAAUGUUGAAACAACUUAUAAGCCACACUGUAAUGACAUUCCUUCUCUUGACCGAACUUCAAUAAUCGACAACUUAUAUUUAUCCACAUAAUCAGCAAAACUCUUAAUCUGCCACUAGCUUCAAACAAAGACCCAGCCAAUUCCUUUUAAACUCCAUAGUGCCUUUAUAAUACAACUGGCAAUCUCUUCUCUUUUGGUCUCCGGAAUCAAUGCUCUAUCUGGAUUAGCUUUCUUCAAAAGAUUUUUAAUAGCCAAUUGUUUCGAAUGGCCCAUGAAUCCUCUAGUGUUCCAUGAUAUAAUCUCCAUCUUUGCUACCUCUGCCUUAUAUCAAUUCAAUUUCACAUGCUGCCAAGAAAGGAACCAACUCUUGAGGGGGAAGGAUACUUGUUGACCUGCACAAAAUUUCUUUUUAUGGGGAGGAAAACAGUUUAAUAAAAUCUGGACCAAGAGAGUCAAUGUCCUCUUGUUUCUCUGUCUCUGAUUGAAUUAUUUCUUCCUCAACUGGUUCAAAUUCUGCACUACUUAAACUGGUGACUGAUUCAACUUCCAUGAAUUCAUCUUCUAGGUUCUCAACUUUUUUGAGACAAGAAGUAUCUUGCACAAAAUUAAAGAAUGAACCAAAAAGUUUAGAGGAGGAUUGAGAAAAUGUAUUACUUAAGGAGGAAGGCAGUACUGACCUUUUGCCAAGUGAAUUUGGAAUUUGUAUCUUCACACAACUUUCCUCUAAUAAAUCAGAAUUAGCCAAGCUCAUCCAAAUGUUGCGAAAAGAAGUUCUCCCUUUGGUAUAGGUCUUGAGGUGCUUAGAAAAAUUUCUGGCAUGAAUUGGAAUAACUUUCAUUGCAGAGGAUAUUUUAGUCUUGGGAGAGGUUGAUAAUUUUGGUUGAGAAAUGAAAACAGGAGAUGGCCCGCAAGUGAAGUUCCUUGAUGGAGGAGAGGACUCUGAUUCUUCCUCCAAUUCGUCAGAAUACCAAAAGCCAUUGGAAUUCUGAUUAAUAAAAUUCUUGGGGCCUACCAUCUGUGUGUCAGCUUUUAAAAUAUCUGCAGAUACAUUAAGUUUGAAAAAAUCUGGUUGGGGAGGGCAAGGUGAGCUAUUUUUUUAGAUAAUAAAAUGCUGGGUGCCUGUCUUUUCUUCUUUCGAGAUCUGUUUUUCUCUCUUUGCCUUUUGAAAAUUAUUUUUUCCGGUCGAACAAGGUUUUCUUCUUCCUCACCCAACUUCCUAAGUGCUUCGAAAGGAUUUCUUGAGAUGGAUGGGGCAUUCUGUUUGAGAAAAUUCAGGUAUCUGAGAGACCAUCACUUUGGAGCCCUUCAUCUAAAAUCACUGAAUUUAUUCUACAUAAAUCAAUAGGAUUGGAAAAAUCACUUUGAAAUAGAUCAAAUUGGAUUAUUACAGGAGCUUCUAAGGGUUCAAAAUCCCCAAAAUUAAGGGAAAAAUUUCCUCAGUUCUCACUCUUUAAUUCUAUAGUUGCUGGUAAGAAUCCGCAAAGAUUUUUCCGAACUUUAAUUCUUGCUUCAGAGAACUUGAUCAGAUUGAGUGUUUCUAAGAUUAUACUUUCUAGUCCACCAAAGUAGCUUAAGCUUAAGGCGAUAAUUGAAUUUUCUUUCAACCACCAGCUUAAACAUUUUGGUGAAUCGGUGGUUUAAUAUUUAUAUUCAUAUUUUAUAAAAAAAAGUAUACAACUAAUGCCAUAUAAAAUAAAUAAAGAAAUACUAUAAAAUCUACAUCCAUAAAAUAUGCAUGUGAACACAUAUCAGAAGAUGGAUAUUCGUAAGUUAGAAAGACCGAUCAAAAAAUGUCAUAAUUAAACAACAACAUUAAUAUUAUGGGUAGUUUCAAGCUUCAUUUGUCUAUUUUAGGUAGGGAUAUUGAAUAACUCUUAAAAAUAAUAUAAAGAUUGAAUCCCUAAACUUCAUGUGCUUGCUAGUAUACAACCUAAAAGUUCAACAGUUAAAGAAACUGAUUAAUCAUUUUUGGCAGGAUGUCAGAUUCGCCUUUUGAAAUCCUACAUGAGUAGAGCCAACCAAAUAAGCCAAGCAAGAUAUGCCUCUUAAGGAAUAUGGAGAAGUUCAAUGACUAGGUAUGUAUAUGAUAAGCCUUAACCUCAAUUUUAUUUAUCAAUAAUGGAGGGAAGGAAUCAGAAGCUUCUCUAGCUCUCCCAAUUAUUCUAAGAAAUCUGAUACAAGCUAUGCCAAAACAUACCCUCCCCAAACAAUCAUAAUAGCAUUUAUAUGAAAGCAUAAAAGACUCAUGGCUCCCUUAACUAGCAACAUUCAGACCAACAAAUACAGCUUCCCAUCCUCCUCUCCUGAAUCCUUUCUUGUGCCUACGGGUGUACACCUUCACUACCAUGGGCCUAUCAGUAUUUAGAGAUCGUAGAGGCUGUAUGAGCCAAGGAGCUGGAAGAGUAGGAUUAGGGAAGUGUGGAGUUUUCCGCUCUUUGUUUGGCCAAAAGUGUUUGUCCGAAAUCCUACAGCUUCAACUAACUUUGGAAAGUCAGUCGAACACAUUGAAAUUCCCUGAAUGUGUGAAAUCCAUGGAUUUUAUUACACAUCCCAAAGGUGAACGACUUUGAGGCAUCUUGGUUAUAAUCAAUUGGUUCCUGAAGUACGCCACCUUCAUCCCCACUACAAAACUAUGUUCUGUCGAGCUGAUAGCACACUUGUUCUUUAAGAACGUCUUGAAGUUAUGAGGAGUUCCAUCAAGCACUGUGAGUGACAGGGAUGGUAGAUUCAUUGGUACUCUCUGGACCGAACUAUUCGCCUUCUUGGGGACACGCUUAAAUAUAUCCUUAAGCUGCCAUCCUCAAACGAAUGGCCAAAUAUUGGCCAUGUGCCCUAGUUUCAUAUAUAUUCUCUCACACCACAUCUCUCAUACCACUAGGAAUUUUAGUCCAAGUGGGAGUUUGUUGGAAUUUUUUGUCCUAAAACUCGUAGUUUGUAAAUCAUAUUCUAUUCAAUAAAGUUGUUAUUGAGAAAUUAAAAUAUUAUAAUCUUAAAUCCAAUAAAUCAAAGUUCCAAGGCUAUUUUUUGAAUAAACUUGAACUUUAUGUGUAAACAUAAACGUGGAUCAAGUUCGAGUAUAUAGCCUAAAUAGUCUAUAGUAUAUGAAAUAAAGGUGGGGCGCCUUAUUUUGAGAGACUAUGGAUGCGGCCCACUUUGUAGUACAAACGAUGUGAUCCUAAUCGUUCAUGUAGAGACAUGAAAGUGGGGGCAUCCUAUGUAAAAUGUUUACAUAAGACUGAACCAUGAAUUAGUCAUUUUUACGUUAUAACACCGUUUACUGUUUAAAACUGACUAUCUCAAUUAUUGAUGACCUAGGUAACUUAGUUCUUAAUCCCUGAGUUAACUAUGAACUCCUGUUCAUACGAGAUUAUCCUUAGAUCUGCUAUAGGUGAGGGCAGCUCAUCUAGCGUUGGCCCAAUAAGCUCUCCACAUUUCAGGGGUAAGAUCGGGUGGAUAGCUGGGAACAUAGAGUACAAGAUGGAAUUCACUCCGUAACCCGCUUUAGGGUUAGUAGAUAGGUUGUUCUCUUAAGCACUGAAUCCAAGUCUUGAACAAGGGGCCCCACCCUCUCAUUGGCCCGAGAGGGACUUAAGUUUAUAAGGUUGAACCUUAAACCAAUUGUUCAAUAGUGGAUUAGUGGGACUUACAGGAGCAAGUAUGUAAUCUUGGGGGUAAAACGCGUAUAUUUGACCCAGCCAAGGUUACGAGCAACCUGUGAAGGAUUAACUUUACUUGAUUAUGGUUUUAUCAAAUGGACACAAAUAUAUCUAUAGUGAGGGGAGUGCAACUACGGGACUUUAGUGGAAUGACCCGUUAGUUAACGAAUGUUGAUUAACUCGGUUUAGAAAGAUAGUUUAGCUAGUCUAGAUCUUGAAUCGUUGGAGCCCAUGAUCUAUAGGUCCAUAUAGGUUCCUCUGCUGAGCUCAUAUGGAUUAAACUUAGAACAGUGUGAUGAAAUAAGUCGAAUUGUUCGAAUCAGGGCAGAAGAAAGGAAAACCGACAUAUACAGUGAUAUAAUCGUCGGUCUUCUAAUUAGAAAUAUGAGCUUUAUGUUUUACAUACUAUAAGUAUGAAUACAGAUUCAUACUAAGAAGCUCGAAAAUUGGUCAAAAAUAGUAAAAAGUCAAAAUGUAUGACUUUUGACUUUGACAAAGUCAAACUUUGACCAGCCUUAUAUUCAAAUGUGAUUUGAAUUUUGGAAACAAUGAAUGCGGAUUCAUGCUCGGGAGGUUGGAAUUAGUCAAGACGGACAAAAUGGUAAAAAGUCAAAAUAUCUGUAUCUUUUGACUUAGAGAAAGUCAAAGUUCUGAACUUUUGACUAGAAAAAUCUAAUGACCAUUUUCACCCUAUGGACUCAAGUUAGUGGGAAAAUUCCAACAUUUUGUUGGAUAAUCCCACUAACUCUUAGUGGGAUAUGUGGCUAUAUGAGAUAUAGACACCUAGCCCACUAAGUUCCACUAAUUGUUAGUGGAAUAUUAGGUGUUGAGAUUUGGCAAUUGAAUUGCAUGCAUUUUGCAUGUAAUUAGGCUAUAAAUACGAGAUGUUUUCGAGAAUGUUGAAGGUACCUUUUGCUCUCUUUGUGAUCAUUUUCAGUAAUCUCAACAAAAGAAAAAAAAAAGCUUCCAAUCUCAUUUUAUCUCCACUAACUUUCUACACCAAAAUUGGGUCCCACAACCCGGUUCUUUGUCUAGAAGGAUAGCUAGUUGAGUACUAGUGGUGGUCUGCGGGCUCAGAAUUGGUAAGAAUGACAUCAAACCUUUUGAAAGUCUUCAAAGGUAAUACUUCUUAAAACCCUAAUUUGAUUAGUUUAUGGUUACAUGUUAAUUGUGGCAAUUAGGGUAGAAAUUCGAUUCUUUUUCCGCUGUGCAUGACCUUAGUUCUAUCAUGUGGUAUCAGAGCAUGCUAUCAUUUUUACCCAACUUGCAUGGUGGUGGGUUCAUAUUUCAUUAGAUAAAUUUUGGUUUGAACUAAAAUGGAUAUAUUAUGAUUUUGGCUCUAGAUCUCUAAGUGUUUUUGUUCUAAUUAUUGUAAUAUAGCCUUGUUAAUGGCUUAUUUUUAUUGUUGCAAAAGUGUAUUGUAAUUUUUUAAAAAAUAAAAAAAAGUCAUUAGAGUUGAAGCUAGGCUGUCAAUUGGUUCAACUCGGGUGAAGAGAAUUGAAAAACCAAGUGAAGAAAAGAAGGUCACAGACCCGAAUACCCGGUUGUUGACCCGCUUCGCGACCCGCACGCGCCCGCAAUGCCCGCAUGUGUCCGCGCGCCCGCCUUCGCCGCAGCCUGUCUUCGCACGACCCGUAGUGCGCCUGGGCCGGUUCAAGCCAAUAAAUUUGGUUUUUGGGCCGGUUCAAGCGGUUCGGUUGGUUUUUUAGCACGGUUCGAAAUUUUUGGGAGUGGUUCUGUACUACACCAAAUUAAGGAUUAUGUAAUAAUUUAGCACUUAGCUUAAUUUAGGAGCCAAAAAUCAGUCCUGAUUUUAGGGUGUUUUUUUUAUUUAUGCAUGUGAUGUCCAUGAUUAAAUUACUUUAAAUUUGUAUGUGCAUUUUGAAUGUCAUAACUGAGAUCUUAAAGAUCCCACCAUAGGUUAACAUGUUCAUGCAUUAAAAUGUAUGAUAUAAAGGUUAUAUUGUAUUGUAUGCAUGUUAAUUGAUUAAUAUGGAAAUUAAUUAAUAUGAUUAAUUAAUUAUUGUAAUUAAUUAAGUUAUUCUUGAUUAAAUAUGAAUUUAAUCAAAUUAAUUAAUUAGUUGUUUCGAUUUAAUUUAACUUAAAUAUGAAUUUAAUUAAAGUUAAGAUAAAUUAAAAUCCAUUAUUAAUUGAUUGUUCGUUUAUUAUAUAUUGAUAAAAGUGAUUGAUUAAGUUUGAAAAGUUUUUAUAAGUGUUAUAAAAUAAAUUAGACUUUUAAAAUCAAUAACAAAGAUUAAAUGCAUGCUCACUUAGGUUAAACAUAUCUUCCAUUUUUCAUAGAAAGUAAAGGUACGAUAUCAUUGUAAAACAUGGUUACAAAAGGCUCACCUGGUUCAAUCUUGUCAACAAGUCAGAUAAGAUGACUAAGGUUGGAGGUUUCUUAAGUUGACGGUUUACGGAACACCUCCUACCUGGAGAGUCCGUAAUCAAGUUCUUGAGCCUAGUUAACCUAGUUUUAUGAGCAUUCGUGAGAGGUGUUGAGGUCAAUAAAAAUGGUUUUUCACCUAGGACAUCAUAGGUUAGAAAUCCUGUAUAAUGGUUACGUACUUGGAUGUUUUAUUCUAGACUUAAGAUUUGUUUAAGUUAGCCUAAAUAUAAAUACUUGAAGUUUGGAUUACCCUAUUUUUUUCUUUUAGAACACUUCAACUAGAGAAAAAUAAUGUAUUUUAGCUCUAGUGUCCCUAAGAGUUCACACCGUGAGGUCCAUGCAGGGCUUUGUGCCGUGCAUAGGAGCGGCCUCCCUUACGGAGAGUGUUUGUCAAUGGAUCAAAAUCAAGGUGAAUAGGGGAAGUAGUUCAUAGUAAGUGGGUUGAGGGAUUUGUGGCCAGCACAUCCCACGGUCUCUUCCAUUAGGUCGCACCGUGAGGAUUUCUAUAAUAUGCCUGCUUGUCUGCCCUGGAGUCGACGUUCACCCUUCGGAGGGUUGUAUUAUAGGAUUCGGAACACCGCGAACUCCAAAACUGGAUAGGAUUUCUUAGAUUAGUUUUCAUAAAUGAUUCUAAUCUAUAAAAUCUGAAAAUGGUGGGUAACACUUACAAGAAUUACUAAUGUUGUAUAGUAUAUUCUUGACUAAAGUAGCGAUAAACUAAGUGCUGAUAAAGAAUAAAGAGUUAUUCUUGAGAUAGCAUCUAGUCAAGAUUGUCUUGGUAUCAAAGGAGGAAUAAGUCAACUACCCUUCGGAGAAGGUUGUUCUAAACCUUUGAAAUAUUGUUGCAAAAUACAAAUAAUGAAAGGGUACCAUUAUUAGUAAUUGCUAAAUUAGAUUGGAUAUUUUUUAGUGAUUGAUAGUUUUUUCUUAAAAAGAAUAUGUUUGUUUUUCAGCAUGAAUAGCUCAAUAGUUCAACUUUUAGCUUUCCGAAAAACUUAAUGGCGAUACAUUAUGCGGCUUGGAAAUCAAAUCUUAACACAAUACUAGUGGUUGAACGAUUUAAGUAUUUGUCUUAACUGCAGGAAUGUCCUCAAAACCCUGCCUCUAAUGCUAACCGAACUAGUCGGGAUGCAUAUGAUCGAUGGAUAAAAGCUAAUGAAUAAAGCCCGUGUUUACAUUCUUGCCAGCAUGUCUGAUGUAUUGGCAAAAGAAACAUGAAUCCUUAGCCACGGCUAAAGUGAGAUUAUGGAUUCAUUAAGGGGAAUGUCUUGGGCUAACCAUGAAUGGUCCUUAAGACACGAGGCAGUCAAAUACAUUUACACUAAGCGUAUGAACGGAAGCGGAACCUCUGUUAGAGAACAUUGUUCUGGACAUCGAUGAUGCACUUCAACAUCGCUGAAGUGAAUGGUGGUCCCAUCGAAGAGGUUAAUCAAGUUAGUUUUGAUCUUAUUGAGUCUCUUCCGAAGAGCUUCAUUCCAAUUCCAAACGAAUGCGUCUUUGAACAAUGAUAGAACUUUAACUUUGACAACCCUUCUGAAUGAACUCCAGCAGAUUCGCAAAACCUAACUUAUGGGUAAAGGAAAUACAAUGUGGAAGCAAAUGUUGCUACCACAACAAAGAAAAUUUAUAAGAGGAUCGUCCUCUAAAACCAAAGCUGGACCCUCAAAACCUAAUGCUCAAAUAAAAAAGAAGGGAAAGGGAAAGACUCCCAAACAGAACAAGGGUAAGAAAGUGCAGAAAAAGGUAAGUGUUACCAUUGUGGCCAAAACGGGCACUGGUUAAGAAACUGCCCAAAAUACCUUGCAGAAAAAAAGGCAGAGAAGGAAACACAAGGUAAAUAUGAUUUACUAGUUGUAGAAACAUGUUUAGUGGAAUAUGGAAAUAUUCUACCUGGAUACUAGAUUCAGGAGCCACUAACCAUAUUUGCUUCUCAUUUCAGGAAAAUAGUUCUUGAAAAAGCUUUCAGAAGGCGAGAUCACUCUCAAGGUUGGAACAGGAGAGAUGGUCUCAGCUUCAGCAGUGGGAGAUUUAAAGUUGUUUUUUAGAGAUAGAUAUGUCAUACUUAAGAAUGUCUUAUAUGUACCUCAAAUGAAAAGAAAUUUAAUAUCUAUCUCUUGUAUUUUGGAACAAAUGUAUAGAAUAUCUUUUGAAAUUAAUGAAGCGUUCGUUUUCUAUAAAGGUAUUCUAGUUUGUUACUGCUAUACUUGAAGACAACUUAUAUAAGUUAAGACCAACUAGAGCAAAUUUUGUCUUAAAUACUGAAAUAUUCAGAACAGCCUGAAACUCAGAAUAAAAGACAAAAAGUUUCUUCUAAUGCCUAUUUAUGGCACUUAAGACUUGGUCACAUAAAUCUCAAUAGGAUUGGGAGAUUGGUUAAAAGUGGGCUUCUAAGUCCGUUAGAAGAUAACUCUUUACCUUCCUUGUGAAUCUUGUCUUGAAGGAAAAAUGACCAAGAGAUCUUUUACUGGAAAAGGUCUAAGAGCCAAAGGACCCUUAGAGCUCGUACAUUCGGACCUUUGUGGACCAAUGAAUGUCAAAACUCGAGGUGGAUAUGAAUAUUUCAUUAGCUUCAUUGAUGAUUAUUCAAGGUAUGGUCAUAUUUACCUAAUACAUCAUAAGUCUAAUAGUCUUGAAAAGUUCAAAGAAUAUAAGGCUGAAGUAGAAAACGAAUUAGGUAAAACAAUAAAAAUACUUCGAUCAGAUCGAGGUGGAGAGUAUAUGGACUUACGAUUCCGAGACUAUUUAAUAGAAAAUGGAAUCCAGUCACAACUCUCUGCACCUAGUACACCUCAACAGAACGGUGUAUCAGAAAGAAGAAACUGGACCUUGUUAGACAUGGUUCGCUCUAUGAUGAGUUUUUCUCAGAUGUCAGAUUCUUUUUGGGGAUAUGCUUUAGAAACAGCUGCUUAUAUUUUGAAUAAUGUUCCCUCUAAAAGUGUUUCAGAAACACCUUAUGAGCUAUGGAAAGGGCGUAAAGGCAGUUUACGUCAUUUUAAAAUUUGGGGUUGUCCAGCACAUGUGUUGGUACAAAAUCCAAAGAAAUUGGAACAUCGUUCAAAAUUAUGCUUUUUUAUAGGUUAUCCAAAAGAAUCAAGAGGUUGGUAUUGAAUUUUAUGAUCCUCAAGAAACAUAAAAUACCACAUCAGGGAUCAUCAACCUCGUAGUAAACUAGUAUUUAAAGAAAUUUCCAAAAGUGCUAUAGAUAAAACCUAGUUCAUCCACUAAAGUAGUUGAUAAGACUAGGAAAUCUGGUCAAUCACAUCCUUCUCAACAGUUGAGAGAGCCUCGACGUAGUGGGAGGGUUGUUCAUCAGCCUGAUCGCUAUUUGGGUUUAAUUGAAACUCAAGUCGUCAUACCUGACGAUGGCAUAGAGGAUCCAUUAACCUAUAAACAGGCAAUGAAAGAUGUAGAUCGUGACCAAUGGAUCAAAGCCAUGGACCUCGAAAUGGAGUCUAUGUACUUUAAUUCUUUCUAGGACUCUAGUAGAUCAACCAAAUGACGUAAAACCUAUUGGUUGUAAAUGGAUCUACAAGAGAAAACGAGACCAUGCCGGUAAAGUACAGACUUUUAAGGCUCGACUUGUGGCAAAGGGUUAUACCUAGAGAGAGGGAGUAGACUAGAGGAAACUUUCUCUCCCGUUGCCAUGUUAAAGUCAAUUAGAAUACUCUUAUCCAUCGCCACUUUUUAUGAUUAUGAAAUUUGGCAGAUGGAUGUCAAGACAGCUUUUUUGAACGGUAAUCUUGAAGAGAGCAUCUAUAUGUCUCAACCAGAGGGGUUUAUAAAACAAGAUCAAGAACAAAAGGUUUGUAAGCUUAAAAAAUCCAUUUAUGGAUUAAAACAAGCUUCUAGAUCCUGGAAUAUAAGAUUUGAUAUUGCGAUCAAAAUCUUAUGGCUUUGAACAAAAUGUUGACGAGCCUUGUGUUUACAAAAGGUCGUCAAUUCCAUUAUAGCAUUUUUUAGUCUUAUAUGUAGAUGAUAUUCUACUUAUUGGAAAUGACUAGGAUAUCUUCCUGAUAUCAAGAAAUUGGCUAGCUAUGCAAUUUCAAAUGAAAGAUCUGGGAGAUGCACAAUACGUUCUCGGAAUCCAAAUUGUUCGAAACCGUAAGAACAAAACACUAGCCAUGUCUCAAGCAUCUUACAUAGACAAAAUGUUGUCUAGAUAUAAAAUGCAGAAUUCCAAAAAGGGUCUGCUGCCGUACAGAUAUGGAAUUCAUUUGUCAAAGGAACAAUGUCCUAAGACACCUCAAGAAGUUGAGGAUAUGAGAAAUAUUCCCUAUGCUUCCGCUGUUGGAAGUUUAAUGUAUGCAAUGUUAUGUACUAGAACCUGACAUUUGCUACUCAGUAGGGAUGGUCAGUAGGUAUCAAUCCAAUCAUGGACGUGAUCACUGGACAGCCGUUAAAAACAUUCUACAUGCUCAUGUAUGCGUACAAAGGAUAUGAUCCUUACUGGAUACACUGAUUCAGAUUUCCAAACUAAUAAAGAUGUUAGAAAGUCUACAUCAGAAUCAGUAUUUACUCUAAAUGGAGGUAGCAGUAGUUUGGAGAAGCAUAAAGCAAACUUGUAUAGCUGAUUCCACAAUGGAAGCUGAUCAUUUUACAAAAGCCCUCACGGCUAAAGUGUUUGAGGGUCACCUACACAGUUUAGGUGUACGAUGUUUGUAAACUAGGACAAGUGGGAGACUUAUUGGCCAAUGUGCCCUAGUUUCAUAUAUAUUCUCUCACACCACAUCUCUCAUACCACUAGGAAUUUUAGUCCAAGUGGGAGUUUGUUGGAAUUUUUUGUCCUAAAACUCGUAGUUUGUAAAUCAUAUUCUAUUCAAUAAAGUUGUUAUUGAGAAAUUAAAUAUUAUAAUCUUAAAUCCAAUAAAUCAAAGUUUCCAAGGCUAUUUUUUGAAUAAACUUGAACUUUAUGUGUAAACAUAAACGUGGAUCAAGUUCGAGUAUAUAGCCUAAAUAGUCUAUAGUAUAUGAAAUAAAGGUUGGGCGCCUUAUUUUGAGAGACUAUGGAUGCGGCCCACUUUGUAGUACAAACGAUGUGAUCCUAAUCGUUCAUGUAGAGACAUGAAAGUGGGGGCAUCCUAUGUAAAAUGUUUACAUAAGACUGAACCAUGAAUUAGUCAUUUUUACGUUAUAACACCGUUUACUGUUUAAAACUGACUAUCUCAAUUAUUGAUGACCUAGGUAACUUAGUCUUAAUCCUGAGUUAACUAUGAACUCCUUGUUCAUACGAGAUUAUCCUUAGAUUCUGCAUAGGUGAGGGCAGCUCAUCAGCGUUGGCCCAAUAAGCCUCCCAUUUCAGGGGUAAGAUCGGGUGGAUAGCUGGGAACAUAGGGUACAAGAUGGAAUUCACUCCUACCCGCUUUAGGGUUAGUAGAUAGGUUGCUCUCUUAAGCACUGAAUCCAAGUCUUGAACAAGGGGCCCCACCCUCUCAUUGGCCCGAGAGGGAUUAAGUUUAUAGGUUGAACCUUAAACCAAUUGUUCAAUAGUGGAUUAGUGGGAUCUUAAGGAGCAAGAUGUAAUCUUUGGGGUAAAACGGUAUUUUGACCCAGCCAAGGUUACGAGCAACCUGUGAAGGAUUAACUUACUGAUUAUGGUUUUAUCAAAUGGACACAAAUAUAUCUAUAGUGAGGGGAGUGCAACUACGGGACUUUAGUGGAAUGACCCGUUAGUUAACGAAUGUUGAUUAACUCGGUUUAAAAGAGUUUAGCUAGUUAAUCUUGAAUCGUUGGAGCCCAUGAUCUAUAGGUCCAUUAGGUUCCUCUGCUAGCUCAUAUGGAUUAAACUUAGAACAGUGUGAUGAAAUAAGUCGAAUUGUUCGAAUAGGGAGAAGAAAGGAAAACCGACAUAUACAGUGAUAUAAUCGUCGAGUCUUCUAAUUAGAAAUAGAGCUUUAUGUUUUACAUACUAUAAGUAUGAAUGCGGAUUCAUACUAAGAAGCUCGGAAUUGGUCAAAAAUAGUAAAAAGUCAAAAUGUUGACUUAUUGACUUUGAAAAGUCAAACUUUGACCCGGCCUUAUAUUCAAAUGUGAUUUGAAUUUUGGAAAAAUGAAUGCGGAUUCAUGCUCGGGAGGUUGGAAUUAGUCAAGACGGACUACAAAUUGGUUAACAAAGUCAAAAUAUUGACUUUUGACUUAGAAAAGUCAAAGUUUGACUUUUGACUAGCAAAAAUCUAAUGACCAUUUUACCCAUUGGACUAAGUUAAGUGGGAAAAUCUCAACCAAUUACUAUGUUGGAUAAUCACCACUAACUCCUUAGUGGGAUAUGUGGCUAUAUGAGAUAUAGACACCUAGCCCACUAAGUAUCCACUAAUUGUUAAGUGGAAUAUUAGCGUGUUGAGAAUUUGGCAAUUGAAUUGCAUGCCAUUAUUUGCAUGUAAUUAGGCUAUACCAAUAGAAGAAUGUUUUCAAACUGUUGAAGCGCACUUUGUGCCUCUUUUAUCAUUUUCAUAAUCUCAAGCAAAAGGAAAAAAGAAAGCUUCCUAAUCUCAAUUUUAUCUCCAUUACUUUCUACACCAAAAUUGGGUCCCACAACCCGGUUCUUUGUCUAGAGGCAUAGCAGUUGAGUACUAGUGGUGGUCAUCGGGUAGAAUUGGUAAGAAGACAUCAAGACCUUUUGAAAGCUUCAAAGGUAAUACUUCUUAAAACCCUAUAUUUAGAUUAGUUUAUGGUAUACAUGUUAAUUGUGGCAAUUUAGGGUAGAAAUUCGAUUCUUUUUCCGCUGUGCAUGACUUAGUUCUAUCACCAAUACUAGAAGAAGGAUUCAAUUGUAUGCUUAUGGCAAUAUCUACGUAUAUUUUGUUGAUUCUGGACAAAAGAAUUGGGACCUAGUUGAUGGUAUGUGGCUCAAUUUUGUGUUUAAUGCACAAACUAGUCUAUCCACAAGAACGAGUCCUUUCGAAAUCUUGAGUGGAAGACAACCUAUACUGCCGUCAUAUUGUUGAUCAUCCUUAUGCAGGAAAAAAUCCUACAAGCUCAUAACUUUACGAAAACGUGGGAGAAGACUACGAACAUCGCUCGAGCAUACUAAGAGAAAGACUCGAAGCGUAUGAUAUAGAAGCAUCCAUCCUCUCAAGUUUUGAGCGGAAGACCAACUUUCGUAGAGUUUAAAGCGAAAGCAAAUUUGAUUUAGAGGACAUCAACAUCAACAUCUCACCAGAAAAUACGAAGGGCCUGUUGAAGUUUUGAAGAAAUUCUGAGAAAUGCAUUAUAUAGGGUAUCGUUGCUUGCAUGGAUAAAAAAUCAUCUAGUAGCUCAUGUGAGCAACUUGAAACCUUACCAUCAAGAUCCAGAUGACCAGUAGUGCAACAAUGGUGUAUGGUCAUCUAGUGACCUAAAGCAGAAAGACGAUAAAGAAAUGGAAGAAAUCGUUCCUAAGAGAGUGAGGAAGGGUAUACCCAUGAAGAGGAUACAUGAAUUCCUACUGAAGUGAAAGAACCUCCAUGCGGAAGAAACACGUUAGGAAUGUGCUGAAGGGUAUACCCAGUCGACAGGGACGCCAAUUGUUUAAGAGCGGGAGAAUGUAACAAGCAUGCUUGUCCAGGGCGCUGUUUGCUUAUGGCCGCAUGCCAAACACCCAAAAUUUACAUUGUUUUUUAUGUUUGUAUUUAGUUUUACUUUUUGCUUUCCUUUUAAUGUCAUAAACCUUGGGUGUGACUUGGCUUUUUCUUAUGCAAGCCUACCAGAACUAAAAAAGUCUAAAAUGUACUAUAGAUGGGACAUAGUAGUUGAAUCCCUGCCCAAGCCUUGUUGCACUCUUCGCAAUCAAAGUUUUUUCUUUGGCAAUUGACAAUCUUCAAUGCUUGCUUUAACGAUAUUUUCAUUGAAUUUCUUUCUCCUCACGUUUUAUAAAACAUUUUCUCAAGAACGUGAAGAGAGGCUACAUCGUAUCAUGUGUUUGUCCGUGGUUUUUGGAUUUUGAUCAGCUAACUUGUUGUCUAUGUAAAACAAGUGCAACAUAAUCGCUCCUCUCGUGUUUGAAAAGCUCGCGAUUGUGACACAAGAAUGCACUAGCCAAGAAUGCACACGAGGAGGGCUACACGAAAUGCCAAGCACGCAACCAAGUGAGGUUCACAAUGUGCUUGUGUGUGAGGUUAGCACGCAGGCAUGCCCAACGCGCGUGAAAAGCCUCUUGUGAGAUUUACACACACUAGCCAGCGCCCAACCAAGGCCCUACCGCCCACCCAUUCGUGUCAGGCAGUGUCAUAUUGCGUGUUGAGCUAUUUUUGGUAAUUUUUUGAGUUUUUUAAGUAUAAUUUUGAUAUUUUCUUGGCAAAAGAUAAUUAAUUGUACUAUUUUACCAUUAUUUCAAGACAUGAGAAGAUCACAAAAUUUAUAAACCAAGGAUUUGAGCUUGUAUCUUUGAGUGGAAAUGUUUUAUUUAAAAGUGAUUUCAAGCAUGUUCUUAAGUCAUGAUUUAUGACGGAUUUAUGCUAAAAUGUUUAAGUUAUGUUAUGAAAAGUCUUUCAAGCGUGUUAUUGUUAAAGGUAUUUAUUCAAGCAUAUUUUUUACUCUUCAAAAUGCAUAAUAUUCAAAAUGUUUUCCCACUUUCUAGUAGAGAUCGUGUCCUCUAAGCCUAACUUGAACCUGUCUACUAAAGGAUUUCAUUUUGUUAUUGUAUGUGUCCUGUAUUUUGUACUAAUGGUAAAUUAGUCUUUUGUGCUAUCAGACUUAUGCUUUUGGAAAGGUUUAUAUAAGGUUUUGUUCUAGAUAAAUAAGAUUACGUUUUUUCUAUGUUAAACUUGUCUAAGGUUGUUAAUGAAAAAGGUUUAGCCCAAUUGGUUUCAGUAAAACUUAUGUGUUAUGUUUCCACUGUUGUUUAGAGUUUAAAGUUCAGGCUAAGGGUCAGAUAGUGUCGUUCUUGACGUGGGUGCUAUCGAUUGGCUUCACGCCAUAUCUCGAGCCACGCAAGUAGGUGCUCGUGGUGGGGUGUGAUAGCCUAAGUUGGCUUAUUAACGGUUAAAAUGUAAACAUGUCCAUAACAAAAUAGUUGGGCAAGGCCCAUGUGGACCGACUGGUAAAGGUUGAAGAGCAAAUGCUCUACCUAAUGAAAGUUCCUAACUCAAUUCGCUUCUUGGAAACCCGCCUUGAAGAAAUUUUUUAGAAAGCUGAUGCUAUUAAUUAAACCACCACCCAAAAUCUUAAGCUAGUGAUUAAAAGUAAAUUUAAUUAUAUAUCACUAACAAUCCCCCACUUAUGGGUUCGAAAUAUCUAAAAGGUCCAACAAGUGAAAAUCAAUUUUAAUUGGGAAGGAAACACCAAUACAGGGACUUGAACAUAAGACCUUUUGGACCACCUGCUCUAAUACCAUAUUAAACCCCAAAUUCACCCAAAAGCUUAAGCUAGUGGUUGAAGGUAAAUUUAAUUAUAUAUUACCAAAGUAUGAGGUUUCAUCACAAUACCAAUUGGCAAUGAGAGGAGUAGCUCAUCUAUUUUAUAAGGAGUCUAAGUUUCCUUGGUUUUUCAAUUGUGGGAACAUGCCCCUUCAAGAUGGUGCCUCUUUGGUUUCACCUAUCUUGAACCAAAUAUCCGUUUAGGCUUAAUGAGCUCUAAUACCAUAUUGAAAGCAAUAUAUACGAAACCAAAGCUUACGUGAAAACGUAAGAAUCGAAAGAAAAGCAUUGUGUUUGUAGUUUUAUUAUUUUUAUGAUAAUUACAGACGUACAAUUGGUGGUUUAAUAUAUAUCACUAACACUAUUGCUGCAAUGAUCGAUCAUCUCGAUGGAUUACCCAUUUAAGAGUUGUUGACAAGAGUUGACACUCUAGAAUCAAAAGUUGUAAGAACUAGAUGUUGUAAUAAAUGUCCUAAAACUCGUUGUAAUCAUAAUCUAUUCAUUAAAGUCGUUAUUGAUACUAUAAUCUUAAAGCCAAUAAACUAAGGACCCGAAGUUAUUAUUAAGUAAACUUGAACUUUAUGUAGAGACAUAAAAGUUGAUCAAGUUUAAGUAUAGAGCCUAAAUAGUAUAGAUUGUACGAAUACAGUUAGGCACCUUAUUCCAGGACACAAUGAAUGCAGUCUGCUUUGUAUUUAGUAUAAACGAUGUGAUCCUAAAUCCUAGAGACAUGAAAGUGUGGACAUCCUAUGUAAAGAGUUUACAAAAGACUAGAACCAUGAAAUAGUCACUUUUAAGUUAUAACACCGUUAACUUUGAAAAACUUACUAUUUCAUUGAUAGAUAUCAAAUAUAACUUAAUCUUAAUACUGAGCUAACUAUAAGCUUCUGUUCUCACCAGCAUGCUUGUUUAAGGCGUUGUUUAUCUAUGGCCACAUGCCCAAAUACCCCCAAAUCACCUUUUCUUUAUGUCUUGUAUUUAGUUUAGUCUAUUGCUUUCCUUUUUAUGUCAUAGACCUAGGGUGUGAGGUGUCACACAUUUUCAUUUGCAAACCUGUCAAAGCUCAAAAAGUCUAAAUGUACUAUAGAAGAGACCCAAUAGUUGAAUCCCCAACCAUGUCUUAUCGUAUUCUUUAUAAUCAAAUUUUUAUUUGCAAUUGAAAGUCUUCAACGCUUUCUUUAAUGAUGUUUUUAAUGAUAUUCUCUCUCACAUUUUAUAAUAAUUUUUUCAAGAACGGGAAGGGAGGUUAUAUCAUAUCGUGAGUUUGUUCGUGAUUUUCGGAUUUUACAUGACUGACUUAUUGACUGAGCAAAACAAGUGUUCUACAAUUGUCCGUUCCAUGUUUGAAAGAUUGCGAUUGUGGCACGCAGAGUGUCACAAGUGUGCUUGUCCAAGGCAUUAUUUGCCUAUGGUCGUAUGCUCGUAUAUCCUCAAACCACUUUAUCUUUAUGCUUUGUACUUAGUUUAGUCAACUGCUUUCCUUUUGUUGUCACCGACCUAAGGUGCGUCGUUUCGCAAUUUUCAUAUGCAAUGUUGUCAAUGCUAAAAAAGUUUAAGAUGUAUUGUAGGGGAGGCAUGGUAGAAAAUUGAAUCCAUCUCAACUAAGGCCCCUAUUGUGAUUUUUGCAAAUCUAAGCUUUCUUUGCAAUUGACAAUAUUCAAUUUUUUCUUUAAGGAUGUUAUCAAUGUUUUUCUUUAUCUCUCACGUUUUAUACAACCAAUUUCUCUCAAAAGAUGAAGCGAGGCUACAUCGUACCAUGAGUUUAUCCGCAACUUUCAAAUUUCACAAGGUUGCCUUGUUCAUCAAUUUAGAACAAGUGUUGCACAAUCGCCCGUCCCGUAUUUGAAAAGUUGCAUUUUGUGACAAGUGGUAUUAAAGCUUUCUUAGCUCCUUGGCUAAGCGAGAUGCAAUUAUGUCGACAAUGAAACAACUAUCAAAGUUGCAAUCUGAGCGACUGACUGAGAUUGAAGAGGAAUUCUUGGAUAUGAAAGAAUUGCCAAAGGAAGUAAGAUUUCUCCAGACCUAACUUGAGAUGUUUAAAGAAAAAGUCAGAGAAAUAGACGCAUUGAAUGCCUAAAUAGACAAACUACCCAUAAAUGAAUUGGCGUUGAGGGUUGAUUCGUUAGAACAUAAAACCACCAAAGUAGGUAGUUUUGAACGUGGAAGUAGCUCUUCAAGUUCUAUCGCACAAAUGGAAGAGCGUGUCAAGAGUUUGACUUUUGACAAGCUCCAACAUAAUCAGUUAUAUUUCAAGAAAGAGAAAAGUGUUUUUGCUAAAUAGCGUAUCAAUUUUCUGGGUCACAUCAUCGAAUGUAGAAAGAUUUGAAUGGAUGAACAUAAGUUGUGAGCUAUUAAGGAGUGGAGAGCCCCCACUUCCGUGAAAGAGUUACGUUUCAUCCUUCAAUAUAUUCUAAAAUAGGGUUCACCUACUAUCCUCUAGACUCAGUACCGAGAGAAAGAAAUAGAUGGAAAAAGAAAUGGGCUUGGUAAUUUUUUUUUCUAUGUAAAUAAGAAAAAGAAAUCCAAUUUGGUAUAAGAGCCCAAAUUCAUUAGCCAGUCCAUCAAAUGAGGUCAACGACCCUAUUUAUAAGGAUUUUCCAUGCAAAAUUGCAUGUCCAUGGAAUACUAAAGCCCAACAACUCAAAGCUCUAUUUCUAAUAUGAAAUUCGAUGGCUAUAACACAUAUACUUGUCAGUUUCUCUCUCUUCUCCCAAUUCGAACAAUUCGACUUAUUCCAUCACACUAUUUUAAGUUUAUUCCAUAUGAGCUAGCAAGGGAACCUAAUGGACCUAUAUAUCAUGGACUCCAAUGAUUCAAGAUUAAUUGACUAAAUUCUUAUAGACUGAGUUAAUCAACAUUCGUUAACUAACGGGUCAUUCAUGUAUGUACUGGAACGAUUCAGAAUCACCUCGUUUGUACUAACUACAAAGCGGGCGGCAUCCACAGUUUCUCUGAAAAAAUCUGGGUUACUACAACGUCACCACGAUGUACAAUUUUCCUGAUAAGAUGGUACUUACGUUCGAUAUGUAUUCCCCGUUUACGGCUUUUAGGUUCUCUUGAAUUUGCAACUGCACCACUGUUGUGACAGUAUAAAGUGAUUGAUAGAUGCAUAUUUGGAACGACUUUCAGAUCUGUCAAGAAUUUUCUUAGCCAUAAUGCUUCUGUUGUUGCUUCAAAAGUUGCUACGUAUUCUACCUCCAUUGUGGAAUCAACUAUACAAGUUUGUUUUAUGCUUCUCCAAACUACUACUCUUCUAUUUAGAGUGAAUACUAAUCCUGAUGUAGACUUUCUAGCAUCUUUAUCAGUUUGAAAAUCAUAAUGAGUGUAUCCAGUAAGGAUCAAAUCUUUUGUACCAUACACGAAAAUGUAGUGUUUUGUUCUUCAAAUAUAUUUUAGAACAUUCUUAACGGUUGUCCAGUGAUCACAUCCAAGAUUGGACUGAUACCUACUGACCAUCCCUACUAAGUAACAAAUGUCAGAUCUAGUACACAACAUUGCAUAUAUCAAACUUCCAACAGCGGAAGCAUAGGAAAAUUUUCUCAUAUCCUCAAUUUCUUGAGGUGUCUUAGGACAUUGUUCCUUUGACAAAUGAAUUCCGUAGAUGUAUAAUAGCAUACCCUUUUUGGAAUUCUACAUUUUAUAUCUAGACAACAUUUUGUCUAUAUAAGAUGCUUGAGACAUGGCUAGUGUUUUGUUCUUGCAGUUCUGUACAAUUUGGAUCUUAAGAACGUAUUGUGCAUUUCCCAGAACUUUCAUUUGAAAUUGCAUAGCUAGCCAUUUCUUGAUAUUAGUAUGAAAUCCUAUGUCCUUUUCCAAUAAGUAGAAUAUCAUCUACAUACAAGACUAAGAAUACUACAAUGGAAUUGACGACCUUUUUUAUAAACAUAAGGUUCGUCAACCUUUUGUAUCAAAGCCAUAAGAUUUGAUCAUAGUAUCAAAUCUUAUAUUCCAGGAUCUAGAUGUUUGUUUUAAUCCAUAAAUGGAUUUUUUAAUCUUACAAACCUUUUGUUCUUGAUCUUGAUCUAUAAACCCUCUAAUUGAGUAAUAUAGAUACUCUCUUCAAGAUUGUCAUUCAAAAAAAGUUGUCUUGACAUCCAUCUGCCAAAUUUCAUAAUCAUAAAACGUGGCGAUGCAUAAGACUAUUCUAAUUGACUUUAGCAUGGCAAAGAUAGAGAAACUUUCUUCAUAGUCUAUGUUAGAAAGAGACAUGCGCAGUGGAAAAAUGGAAUACAAAAUUACCCUAAUUGCACCUAUUUAACUUGCAACCCUAAAUUAAAAGAAUUAGGGUUUAGGAAAUAUUAUACCUUUGUAUCUAUUCGAAUAUGAACGUCUAUACCUCUCACAAAAUUCCAAAAGUUUUUGAAACCAAAAUGUAACACCUUAAACUUAGGAUUUGGAAUUCGUAUCUCCAGCAUUCUCUGCAUCCCCUGCGACCUGGCAGCAUCAUCCUUACUAUUCUUAAAAACUUAUUAGAAUGAAAUUCCUCUUCACAAACCAACACGAAAUCUUUCAUCAUGCUUUUCCUCACUCACAUAUAUCCUAGGAAAAUUUCCAAGAGGUCACCCAACAUAGAAUUUCUUUCAAGCUAAGCACGCUUAACUAUGAAGUCCCUAUAAUCGAGCCACCGAAAAAAAAAGGUUCACAUUGUUGGUAUAGGUAAUAAGUUUCAAUUCUUUUAAGUCUUUCUUAACAUGACUUUCAUGUCCUCAAGGUGCACCUUGUCGGUAUACUUGUCGAUUUCUCUCUCUUCUCUCAAUUCGAACAAUUCGACUUAUUCCAUCACAAUGUUCUAAGUUUAUUCCAUAUGAACUAGCAGGGAAACCUAAUGGACUUAUAUAUCAUGGGCUCCAGCGAUUCAAGAUUAACUGGUUAAACUCUUUUAGACCGAGUUAAUCAACAUUCGUAAACUAACGGGUCAUUCCACUAAAGUCCCGCAGUUGCACUCUCCCUCACUAUAGAUAUAUUCUUGUCCAUUUAAUAUAACCAUGAUCAAUAAGUUAAUCCUUCACAUGUUAUUCGUAACCUCGAAUGGAUCAAAUUACUGUUUUAUCCUUGAGACUACAUCUUAUUUCUUAAGUUUCAUUGAUCCACUAUUGAACAAUUGGUUUAAGGUCCAACCUAUAAACUUAAUCCCUCUCGGGCUAAUGUGAGGGUGGGGCCCCUUGUUCAAGACUUGGAUUCAGUGCUUAAGAGAACAACCUAUCUACUAACCCUAAACAGGUAGAAGUGAAUUUUGUCUUGCAUCCUAUGUUCCCAGCCAUUCAUCUGAUCUUACCCUUGAAAUAGGAGGCUUAUUGGGAGAACGUUGAUGAGAUACCCUCACCUAUGCAUAUGUAACCCUAAAACAAGUAGAAGUGAAUUCAGUCUUAUGUAAGUACUUUACAGUGCUUAAGAGAACAACCUAUCUACUAACCCUAAAACAGAUAGAAGUGAAUUCAGUCUUAUGUAAGUACUUUACAGUGCUUAAGAGAACAACCUAUCUACUAACCCUAAAACAGGUAGAAGUGAAUUCUGUCUUGCAUCCUAUGUUCCCAGCCAUUCAUCCGAUCUUACCCUUGAAAUGAGAGGCUUAUUGGGAGAACGUUGAUGAGAUACCCUCACCUAUGCAAAUGUAAGGAUAAUCUCAUGUGAACAGGAGUUCAUAGUUAGCUUAGGAUUAAGAUUAAGCUACCUAAGUCAUCAAUAAACGAAAUAGUCAGUUCUAAACAGUAAACGGUGUUAUAACGUAAAAGUGACUAUUUCAUGGAUCAGUUUAUGUAAGUACUUUACAUAGGAUGCCCCCACUUUCAUGUCUCUACAUGAACAAUUUAGGAUCACCUCGUUUGUACUAAUUACAAAGCGGGUCACAUCCGUUAGUUUCUCUAAAUAAGGCACUAUAGACUAUUUAGGCUAUACACUCGAACUUGAUCCACGUUUAUGUCUCGACAUAAAGUUCAAAUGUAUUAAAAAAUAGCAUUAAGACUUAGUUUAUUGGAUUUAAGAUUAUAAUUUUAAAUUUUUCAAUAACGAUUUUAUUGAACUGAAUAUGAUAACAAACUACGAGUUUUAGGACAUAAAAUCCCAACAUAUGUAUUUUUGCCUCUAAUAAUAAUGUUGAAAGAUGUUUGUUGUGGUUUCAUAUAGGUGAUAUCUCUUCUGGUUGGACAUAGUUAGGUUUUGUAAUGGGUGACUUUAACGAUAUCAAAAUGCAUUUUGAGGCUUUUGAUAGGUCUUCUGUUCCUAUGGAUAUGGAGGAGUUCGAUAUGGCUAUUUGCGAGGCUUAUUUAGUUGAACCUACAGUACAGGGUAACUGGUUCACCUGGACUAGAAAGGUUCAUGGGUCUGGUUUGAUAAAAUGGUUUAAUCGUAUUCUGGUUAAUGGUGUUGGAUUACUGCAUGGCCUUCGGGUAUUUCUGAUCACUCCCCUCUUAUUUUAUCCGCAACUUUUAGCAGAGACAGUGGGUAGUUUCUUUUUGUUUCUUCAACCAUUGGGUUGAGGAUUCUUUGUUUAUUGAUGUUGUCUCUUUGAUUUGGAGUCGCCAUGUAGGAGUUUCUCUGAUUGUGAGUUUCGUGAGAAAUUUACAUAACCACAAGCCUACCCUCCAUAGACAGUUUGGUAAGCACAUUCAGACCUAAGUGAGGAGGUUCGUAUUGCUAAAGAGUCCAUGGAUAAAGCUCAGAGAAAAGGUUGGGCAAAAUCCUAUGUCUGAUGUUUUGAGUCGCCAAGCAGGUCUUGCCAUUGAGGCCUUUUGGACGGCUGUUAGAUUGGAGGAAGCCUUCAUGUGUUUAGAAGUCCAAGAGGUUUGUGAGUUGCCUUAGAACUUGUGUUACCUUCCUCGAUGUUCUCCAUUACGAUUAAUGGCUCUUUCAAGGGUUUUUUAAUGGGAGGAAAGGUUUGUGUAGAGUGAUCCUUUAUCUCCUUUCCUUUUUAUCAUGGUGAUGGAGGUCCUCUCUCGUAUGUUGAAUCGGCCUCCUCCGAGCUAUCAGUUUCACAGGCAUUGUGAGAAGGUUAGCUUAACUCAUCUAACCUUUGCUAAUGAUCUUAUGAUUUUUUGUGCUGCUGAUGAUUCCUCUCUGAGUUUUAUUAACGAGACUAUUAGAAAGUUUGGUGAUCUCUCGGGGCUAUUUACUAAUCUUAGUAAAAUUUCUAUGUUUGUUGUAGGGGUUAAUAGUGAUGAUGUUUAUCGUUUGACUACCAGUUUGGGUUUUGUUCUCAGGCAUCUCCCUGUUCGUUAUCUUGGGCUUCCUUUACUUUCUGGGAGGUUACGACCUACUGAUUGUGCUCUCUUAUUCAACGUAUUACUAGUCAGAUUCAUUCUUGGUUUGCUAGAGUUUUAUCAUUUGCAGGUAGAUUGCAACUGGUUUGAUAUGUGCUUGAUAAUCUUCAGGUUUACUAGGCUAACGUGUUUGUGCUGCCUGUGAGUGUGCAUCAUGAGGUUGAUAAAAUCUUGAGGUCUUAUCUUUGGAGGGGUAAGGAGGAAGGUAGAGGAGGUGUUAAGGUGGCGUGGGCUGAGGUGUGUUCCUUUUGAGGAGGGUGGUCUUGCUAUUCUUGAUGGGUCUUCUUAGAAUGUUGUGAGUACUAUGAAGAAUCUUUGGUUGUUGCUGACUAGUUCGAGUUUUCUACGGGUUGCUUGGGUCGAGGCAAAUGUUCAUAAAGGAAGGUCAUUGUGGGAGGUCGAUUCUUGUGUUGGUCGGUCUUGGUGUCUUUGUGCUAUCAUGUGUAAACGAGAUAGUCUAAAAGAGCAUGUUCAGAUGGAGGUUGGGGAUGGUAGGCAUUGUAAACUGUGCCUGGAUCCGUUGUUGCAGGGUGGUUCCUAUCCUUCAACAAGUUGGUGAGAGAGCGCUUUAUAAUGUAACGAGUAGAUAGGAGGCUAGGCUCUCUAAGUUUAUUGGUUCGAAAGGGGAGUGGAGGUGGUCGAGGGUGUCUUUGGAUUUGAUUAAUUUAUGGGAUAGGGUUCAAGUUGUAAGUUCGUGUCCUAAUGUUGGUGAUAGGUGGGUUUGGGUUCUUGGUCGUCAUAGUGGUUUUUUGAUUGCUAGUGCAUGGGAUACUAUUCAUCCUCGUAGUGUUAAGGUUCGUUGGACAGGUUUCUUGUGGGGUGGGGAUUGAGAGUCUCGUUAUCAUUUGUUUUUUCAUGUCCUUUUGGUUGUGAUAUUUAGUCUCGGGUCCUUUAGGUUAUGGCUUCCUCUCACAGGAUUGGGUAUUGGGGGGUUGAGUUGUUUAGGGUUUGUCAUUAGAGUAUUGGUAAGGGUGUGAGAAGGAAGUUGUGGUAUGUUCUCUAGGGAAAAUUGUGCUACGAUUUAUUUUAUGUGAAAGGAGCAUAAUCAUUGUCUCCAUGGUGGUCAAGCUCGUGAGCUCAUUGUUCUGUUUCAGCUUAUUCCAUCUUGUAUCAGUGCUCGUGUUGUUUAUUUGCGUGAGGAUGCUCAUGGUAUUAUUUAGCUUGUUUUCUUUUGAUUUUUGUUUUAUCUGCUUGUUCUCGGGCUGUGGAGUUGUUUGGACUUUUUAUGUUUUUGUUGCUCUUAAUUUUGUUGGGUUUAUUAUUGUUCUUUCUUUUGAUACUUUGGAUUCUUCCUGUUUUUGUGAGCAUUGUCCGCUCUUGUGAGGUCAUCCUUGUUGUAUUAUGAUAUUAACUUUUCAAGAAAAAAAAAAAGAUAAUGCAAUUCAACUUUAGAUAGAAACAUGAUUCGAAUUUUCAUUUCAAGAAAAUACAAGGGGACAGAACUCAAGGAUUAUGUGGAUCACAAAACUUGAAUUACUAGAAUCUAAAUUUCCAUAUGUUAGAUAUCAUUAGAAGCAGUUAGACCAAAAGUUAAUUAUCAAUAUGUUAGUUCACAGGAACUGCAUAAUCAAGCACAUAAACAUCCACAUUGUCAUUCAUUGUAGGCAGCUUUGAUACACAAAAAAUAUGGAUAUUUUCAGAAGUUCAAGCAUACACAAAAAACAUAUCCUUGUCAGAAAAUAGCCAACUAAGAAAGAGAAGUUCAAGAUUUAUAUACAAAGUGCAGCUGCAAAAGGACAAGCAAGAUGCCAGAAUCUAUAUAUUAUGCAGUCGGAUAUUAAUUGGCAAGUACUAACAGCAAAGGUACCAAAAUAAAACCGUAUCAAUUUAUCUUGUCUAAAACUAAACAGUAUAUGUAAAUCUUGCAAACAAACAAGUUUUUUGAAUCAAAACUGCCAAAAGAUUUUGAUUCAAGUGAUAUGUGGAUUGUGAUCUUUUGUGUCACCCAUCCAUUCCUCCUGUUUUAACCAUUUAAAUCAAUAAAUAAUUUUAUGUUCAAACAUAAGUUGGACAACCUUUGUUAAAGAACUGCUUCCCAAAACAAAUAGCAUUAACCACCCUUUUUUAAUUCAACACAUGGGAAUAAAGAUCGAAUCUCUGAUUUUUUGGUCUAAGGUACCUUUCCUAAACUUGUCGAAUUCCAUUUUCUACACCAACUUUAGAACGAGUAUAUACAUCAAGUAAUUUCAUGUUCAACUCAAAAUUGGACAACCAUAGUAUUACUCCAAAGCAAACAAUACUAACUGUUCCAUUAAAUAUUUUUUUAUAGCUCUUGAUUGUCUCACUUUUUUGUAUUUUGAAUUUACAAGCCUCUUUUUUCUUUCUUUGGUAUGAAAGGUGGCAACUAGGCCUUGCUAGAACGAGUGGGGUAACCUUUCUAUGGUAGUACACUUAGUUUCGAAGUUCGAAGUUUUCCUCCUACAGUGGAUCAUCGAUAUUGAUUCUUCUACUGUUAAUUCGACCUCCCACUAAUUCUCUUCUUCUAAGGAUUCACUUUUCUCUAAGGCUCUGCACUUUACUAAAAAGCCUUGAUCUUCUUCCCCCCAAUGUUUUCAUAAACUUCUUAAGACAGACCCUGACCUUGGUUAGGCUCGGAUCUCCUUGGAUUAUCACCUUAUUCCCCUGAUAUGUAAAUGUUAACAUCAUAUUCUUCCAAUCCACUCCAGUCGUUCCCAAGGAAUACAAUCACUGCAUUCCAAGUAUGGCAACUACCCCUCCCAACUUCAAGGGUAAAAACUCAUUCACUACCUUCUAGUCUCCCAGCAUUAACUCAACAUCUUCACAAAUUACCUUCCCUUUGACUACAGUGCCCGAGCCCAAAAUGACUCCAUAAUUCGACGUUUCUCUUGUACUCAGUUGCAACUCUUUCACUAUUUUUUCCUGAAAUGAAAUUGCGUGUGACUUCACAAUCAAUUAGUACUAUAGCCACAUUCCCUUGUAUCAUCUCUUUUACCUUCAUUUUCCCUAGGUUGGAUAAUCCCACCACAUAAUUAAUGGAUAAUUCCACCACCACCUGACUCUCCUCUACGAUCUCAGGGGCAUUCAACUCUUUCUGAUCAAUUCCUCAUUCUUCGAUAAUUUCAUACUCCUCGCCUUCUUCCUUCACAACAAUCAUUCACAAUUCCCUUUGCUCUUUCAUCUUGCAUUUGUGGUCAUGAGAAUAUUUCUCAUUACAGCGAAAGCACAAUCCCUUCUUUCUAGAUUGAAAUUCAGCAUCAAAUAAGCGCUUCGCCUGUCCCUCUUUCCGUACUUCCUCUUUUGUUGUUCCUCGUAGAGUAAUAGUUCUCAUCGGCCAAUUCAUUCCUCCUUUACUUUCUUCUGUAUUCGCAAUGGUAUUAGCCUUGGUGCUAUUAUGGGAGUUUAUCACCUUUUCUCCAGAAUAUCCAGAAAGAUUUGCUUCCUGACGUAUAUCUUCCUUGUUCUCUACCUUUUGCGCGAUUCGUAUCGUUUGUGCUAAUCCCUUCGACUCACAUAAAUCCAUCUCCGCCUAGAUCCACAGUUUCAAUCACGACAUAAAUGUCUCUUUUACCACCUUCUCUAAUAGGUCCGACAAAGGAGCUACCCACUUAUCGAAUAAAUUUUGAUAUUCCUCUAUCGUUUUCUUUUGUUGAAUUUGCAAGAACCUUACAUACAACGAUUCCUCCCUCACGGAUCGAAAUCGCACAAAUAAUCUUUCCUUCAUAUUCACCCAAUCUACAAAGUUCUCUCGUUCUUCUUGAGAACGGUAAAAGUUCAAUGCUAGUCCCUCAAAACUAAUAGUGGAUACAGUCAUUUUCUCAAAUUCAGUAAGUUUAUGAAUGUGCAAAUACCUCUCUACGCGAAACAGCCAAGAAUCGGGAUCAUCUCCAUUGAAUAUCGACAUCUCCACCUUCUUAAACUUAUUGCAGUAACUAUUACUUUCAUCAUAUAUUUUCUUUCCUUCCUUCCUUGUUUCGUUCUCCCAUCUUGGUCACCCUUCGCCUUCGUCCACAUUCUUCGUCGAUGAAUUGUGCAUUGUUGUCGAUUCCAUAAUUCGUAACAUCAUCUAAAUUCUACCUCUCCAUAUUUUUGGAUAUUUUGGCCAACGUCUUUUCGAUCACCAGUAUCUUACUAAUCUCUUUCUUAAUGUCCUGUAUUUCCUGGUCAAACGUCUCCAUCUCUUCGAUCCGAGUCUGAACCAUUUGCAUUCUUCUUGCCCGAGAUCAAUGCUCUGAUACCAAUUUGAUGGAAACCAGUCUUGGAAUGAAAUUGCUACUAUAUUAUUAAUGAUAGAAUAGGAAUGAAAUCCUAAUUACAAUAUGAAAUCCCUCUCCUGUUAUCCUCUCUCUCAAGGAAGAAUAGAAAUUCACUUUCUCAAACAAAACCUAACUUUCCCGCCCACGAUUACUUUUUAUUUAUACUAACAAUAAGGUAACUAACCCUUCCCUUUACACAUGCUAUUCAUGUGCACGUGAUAUAUUUUUUUUAAUUUCUUUGUCCCUCUUCCACUGUAUAGAUGUAAUAUAGGGGGUCUAUCAGAUUCCUCCUCUUUUCAAAGCCUCCAACCAAACUCAAUGCUAAGUUUGACUGCUCCCUUCAGAGUGACGACCCUCAUUUUCCCCCUUCCGUGGUUUGGGGAGGAUUCCUCCUCUUUUUAAAGCCCUCAAUCAAACUUGAUGCUAUGUUUAGAACGCUAAGAAUAGGUGGUCUAGUUUUGGUUAGGCCAAAAGUGAAAAUUUCCCCCAAAAGCACUAAUAGUUAGGGAACUCAACACAUUCUACUUGACUUAAUCGACUUGACUCUCUAAUUUUUAUGAGCUUUUUUCAAUGCAUAUUGCAUAUGUUUUUUUUAUAGUUGUUGAUUGUCUCACAUUUUUAUGGUUUGCAUUUACAAGCCUCUUUUUUCUUUCUUUGGUAUGAAAUAUGGUAAUAGGCCUUGCUAGAAUCGGUGGGGUAAUCUCUCUAUGGUUCUACACUUAGUUUCAAAGUUUGAUUACUCCCUUCGAAGUGACAACAAGCCUCGUUUUCCCCUAUUGUGGAUCAUAGAGGAUUCCUCCUCUUUUCAAAGCCCUCAAUCAAACUCAAUGCUAAGUUUAACUGCUCCUUCGAAGUGACAACAAGCCUCGUUUUCCCUAUUGUGGAUCAGAGAGGAUUCCUCCUCUUUUCAAAGCCCUCAAUCAAACUCAAUUAGAGUAAAAAGGAAAAAUUUUCAUCUCGGGCGCGUGUACCUCACACGCGUCUCUCUAGGAUUUCCAAGUUCUCUCACUCGCUGGUGAAGGAGGCGAACGGCUGGUGAGUGCUGCGGUCAGCAAGGGAUCAAAUUCGAAGGUAAUUCGUUCGGUUUUGGCAGAUUGAAUGUGAAAACUAAUGUCAUUUGGUAUCCAUUUCGAAAUUGAUUACAAUUGAUCAAUUGAACCAUUACGAAUGAUAUUCUUUUGAUUCGGGAGAAUUAACGUCUGUCAGAAAUUGUUUAAAUCGAUUUCCAAGCUGAAUUGAUUUGAACUAUCUUGAAAGUAUUGCGUGUGGUACGAAUCGAUUUAUUGGCUAUCAGUUCUGGUUUGAAGACCGUGAUUUAAUUCACUCGCUGGAGGGAUCUCGCAUGAAUCUCCUCGGUUGAAUUUCAAUUCUUUUUUAGUUCAUUCGUGUUCCCAGAUUGGGCCGAAAAGAUCAUCACGGGUGUUGGGUUGAUGUCCUAAGCAUGAAACGAUGAAGAAAUUAUCCAGUGACGUUGAGGAGGUGAAGAAACGCGUGAUGUCAAGCCUUCAACGCGUACAUGAUAUGGCGGCGAACCGAAGGGCGGCGACUGCAAAGGCUGACCUAAUUUCUGUGAGGAAGAAACGGUCGGACAUGAGUGGACCCGAACCGGUUUACGUGAACCGUGAAACAUAUAAAAACGAAAUACAGGAAAUGGACCGAGCGGAUGGUCCCAUGAAGAUUGUUGGCCCAAAGGCGUGUGGGCCGAUUGUUUUGAAUGAAAACUUGAUGAAGUCCUGAGCCGGUAAAGGGGCUGAAGCCGAAUGGUGUGGACACAUUUACGAAUGGAAUUGGUCAUGGAUCUCUGGUUGAUGGGCCAUCGUUGAAUGAUGGGCCGUCCAUCUCACACGAAACUGGGAUCUCACAGAAGGAGUGCUUACCUGUGGUGCUUCAAGUGUUCAGCAUGUUGGGCAAAUUGCGGCCAAGGAUAUGGACCUGGGCUGGAUGCUAUUGCAAGUGCCCCAAAGAUUGGGCCGGUUGAUGGGCAUUUGAAUGAUGGGCCAGCCAUUAGAGAACGUUUGGUACUAAUUCAAAUGGUGGGCCGCCUGUUCGAUUCGUGGGCAUGAGGUGCAUAAAUCUAAUAAUUCUGGAGGUGCAGGCAAAAAUUCAUGGGCUUCCUUUUUGGCUCAACAAGAGGUUUCUCUAUGACCUAUACACCUCUACUACCGUGGGAGAGAAAAUUGUGGUGACCCCGUUUGAAGAAGUUAUUAGUCAAGGAGUUAGAGUGUGGGAGAACUCCUCGUCAGCCAAUUAAUUGAUGCAAAAUUGCGUAUCUAGUCAUCUAUCGUCUUAUAGAGAAGAUUUGGGGUAGAAUUGAAAUGCCAACAAUUACUCUGAUGGAGAAUGGGCUCAUCUGCUUUCAAUUCAAACAUCUGAAGUCGAUAGAGUGGAUCUUAUCCCGUGGCCAUGGCACCUUGGAGGCAAACCUAUGCUCCUCCGCAAAUGGACUCCAGGUAUAGUUCCUGAAUCCUUUGUCUUUGAUUCAGUUCCUGUUUGGAUAAAGUUAGGGAGGAUUCCGUUGGAGCUAUGGACGGAUGCUGGUUUGGCUGUGGUAGCGAGUGCAAUAGGAAAACCUCUUUCAGUUGAUCUUGCUACUAAAGAGAGGCGUCAUCUUUCUUAUGCCCGUAUAUGUGUGGAAUUGAAUGUGGACAGUAUUAUGCCUGCCGAAGUAACAGUCAACCUUAGAGGAGAGGAAUUUAUUGUAACUGUCACUUAUGAGUGGAAACCGAAAAAAUGUAACUUGUGUCGAUCUUUUGGACACUCGCAGAACACCUGCCCUAAGAAAAGAGGCAAUGAAGAUAGUAAAAAGGAAGCUGCAAGUAAAGAGGUUCCUGUUAAAGAGGUUGUUCCUACUAAAGAGGUGGUUCCAGAUUGUGGGGAGUAUGGAGAUGUUGUGUUGGAAUCCUUCCAACACAUGGAAGAAGGAGAAAUUAUUACCCAUAAACUGCCUGAAAAGGUGGAGGUAAAUCGGGAGGAAUUUACCCCAGUUGACAGGAAAAAUAGGGGAAUGAUCUCUAUUCGGGACAGAGGGAAAAGGGGGAAGUGAGUAUCACUACUCCUUUAACAACCUCAUGGAGGUGGAUAAAGGAGAUAAAUGGCCUUUAUCUAUAGUGGAUGGCUCCCCUCCUCCCUUACGAGUAGAUGACUCUUCUAUGGUCCUUUUGAGUACUACAGGUGAUGUAAUUCCUAUGGGAGAGGCGCUCCCAUACGACCUCAUGGUUAGUUGGUGUACGUGGAACGUGCGGGGCCUUAAUAGCCCUGUAAAGUGUAGAGCGGUGAAGGACUUCUUAGCCGUGUCUACGGUGGGUUUCUGUUGCAUCCUGGAGACUAGAGUUCGAGAGGAGAACUUUGUCUCGAUAUCUAGAAGAUUUGUGAUUCGUGGGGGUUCAUUAGUAACUACAGCAAUAGUGGAGUAGGUCGAUGUGGAUUAUGUGGAAACGUAACAGAUUCGUGUGUGUUCACGACUAACGAGGUUGUCGACCAGUUUAUUUCUGGUGUAAUAACAGAUUUGAUCUCUGGGGAGAAGGUAGAGGUUCUGUGUGUGUAUGCCUCUAAUAGUAAUAUCAGAGACGUGUUUUAUGGAGGCGAAUGGCUGAGAUCUCUGCUGGUUGGAGAGGACCGGGUAUGGUCUUGGGUGAUUUUAACACCAUCAGACUCCACUCUGAAGCCUUCGGGGGUGCUCGAACGUGGGGGAUAUGGAGGAGUUUGACAUGGCUAUUCGAGAGGCGGACCUUGUUGAACCGCGGUCCAGGGGAACUGGUUUACUUGGACUAGUAAGAUACAUGGGUCGGGUUUGAUGAAUAGACUUGAUCGUAUCCUAGUGAAUGAUGAGGGGCUUAGUACAUGGCUAACAUGAGGGUUAACGUCCUCCCGUGGGGUAUUUCUGAUCAUUCUCCAUACUUGUCUAUCCCAGUAAUCAGCGAAGCCAACAAGUGGUCUCUUUUCGUUUCUUUAACCAUUGGGUUGAAGAAGCGUCCUUUAUGGAUGUUGUGUCCUCUGCUUGGACCAAAGAUACUAGAGUUUCUCCAAUUGUGAAUAUUGUGAGGAACUAAGAAAUCUCAAGUCGAUUCUUCGCAGACAUUUUGGUAGGCAUAUCCGGACCAUCAGUGAGGAUGUUCGUCUUGCCAAUGAUACCAUGGACCGAGCUAAAGAGAGAUGGAGACGAACUCUCUGUCGGAGGAGGCGAGUAAUCACGCGAGCUUAGCCACGGUAAACUUUUGGAAAGCGUUAGAGUGGAGGAAGCCGCUAUGCGCCAGAAGUCGCAAAUCAGAUGGUUGAAGCUAGAUGACCAGAAUACUGCCUUUUUUCAUCGAUCUGUUCGAUCAAGGCAGAGCAGCAAUGCUUUGAGAUCAGUUAUUGACCCAGAUGGAAAUCGGUUGACUAACCAUGAUCAGGUGACUCAGGUGGUAGUGAAUUAUUUCAAAGAUAGUCUGGGUUCUCAGAAUAUUAGCUACAAGAGCUCUCUACUAGUAUUGAGGAGAUUGUUCAGUUUAGAUGGACUGAGGAGUGUUGCAGGCCCUCCAGUCGCCUAUUGGCAGGGAGGAAGUGAGACGUGUUCUGUUCUCCAUGGAUGGUGGAAAGGCUCCAGGCCCUGAUGGGUAUUCAGUUGCUUCUUCAAAGGAGCUUGGACGGUGGUUGGAGAGGGUUUCUGUGAUGUCGUCUUACACUUCUUUGAGACCAAUUACUUCCCUCAAGGGGUGAAUACGACUGCUAUUACACUUAUUCCUAAAAGGAAUGGUGCUGAUCGAUUGGAGGAUUUCAGCCCUAUAUCUUAUUGCAGCGUUAUUUAUAAGUGCAUUUCAAGAAUAUUGGCAGAUAGGCUUCGUGUGUGGCUUCCUUCUUUUGUUAGUGGAAAUCAGCCAGCUUUCAUCCCUGGGAGGAGUAUUAUUGACAAUAUUCUUCUUUGUCAGGAGCUUGUAGGGGCAUACCAUUUGCACAGAGGUAAACCUCGGUGCACUAUGAAGGUUGACCUCCAAAAAGCUUAUGAUUCUGUUAAUUGGGAUUUCCUCUUUGGCCUGCUGAUUGCCAUAGGUACGCCUUUAAGAUUUGUGAGUUGGGUUCGAGCGUGUGUGACCUCUCCGAUGUUCUCCAUUAUGAUUAAUGGAUCGUUGGAAGGUUUUUUCCAUGGGAGGAAAGGACUUAGACAAGGUGACCCUUUAUCCCCGUUCUUAUUUGUGAUGGUCAUGGAGGUGCUUUCUCGCAUGUUGAACAGCCCACCUCAGAAUUUUCAAUUCCACCAGUUUUGUGAGAAGGUCAGAUUAACUCAUCUUACUUUUGUAGAUGACCUAAUGAUCUUUUGUACUGCUGAUAAUCAUUCUAUGAGUUUCAUAAAAGAGACUAUUAAGAGGUUUGGUGAGCUUUCGGGACUGUUUGCUAAUCUUGCUAAAAGCUCAAUUUUUCUUGUGGGGGUUAAUAGUUCGAAAGAUUCUCGGCUUGCUGCUAACAUGGGUUUUUCCAUUGGUCAUCUCCCUAUUCGUUAUCUUGGGCUUCCUCUCCUCUCUGGAAGAUUGCGGAGCUCUGAUUGUGAUCCCCUUAUUCAGCGUAUUACCAUUCGUAUUCGGUCUUGGUCUGCUAAAGUGUUAUCUUUUGCAGGUAGACUUCAGCUUGUUCGCUCAGUCCUUAGGAGCCUUCAGGUUUAUUGGGCUAGUGUGUUCAUGCUUCCUAUGAAAGUCCACAGAGACGUUGAUAAGAUCUUGAGGGCUUAUCUGUGGAGAGGUAAGGAGGAGGGAAGAGUGGUGCUAAAGUUGCCUGGGAUGAGGUUUGUCUUCCUUUUGAUGAAGGAGGUCUUGAUAUUCGUGAUGGAUCUUCUUGGAAUAUAGCAAGCACGUUGAAGAUAUUAUGGUUGCUACUUGUUAAAUCUAGUAGUUUGUGGGUUUCUUGGGUGGAAUCUUAUAUCCUUAAAGGGAGAUCGCUGUGGGAGAUCGAUGCUGGGAUAGGAUUCAGGGAGUGAGGCCGAGUCCGAGUGUUGAGGAUAGGUGGGUCUGGGUGCCGGGGAGUCGUGAUAGUUUUUCGAUCACUAGUGCGUGGGAGACUAUUCGUCCUCAUAGUAGUAGGGUUGGAUGGUCGGGUUUACUAUGGGGUGGGGGAAAUAUUCCUAAGCACUCCUUCUGUGCUUGGUUGGCCAUCAGGGAUAGGUUGAGUACUAGAGAUAGGUUAAGUCGGUGGGAUAGGUCGAUUCCUUUAUCGCGUUUGCUUUGUGGAGGGAACUAUGAGUCUCGUGAUCAUUUGUUUUUUUCUUGUCAUUUUGGGUGGGAGAUUUGGUCGAGGAUCCUUUUGCUUAUGUCAUCUUCUCAUAGAAUCGGUUAUUGGGGGGUUAAGUUAUCUUGGAUUUAUAAUCAGGGUAUUGGGAAGAGUGUGAGGAGAAAACUGUGGCGCCUUCUCUGGUGUGCUACAAUUUAUUUCAUUUGGCAGGAGCGAAAUCAUCGUCUUCAUGGAGGUGUUGUUCGGGAGCCUAUGGUUGUAUUCCAGCUCAUUCGGUCGUGUAUUAAAGCGUGUGCUGCUUCUUGGUCGGAUGGUGUUCAUGGUCUUAUUUAAUGUUCUUUUCGUUUGCUUGUCCUCGGGCUGUGGGGUUUCUCUUCUCUUUAUUAACUUUGUUGUCUUUCUCUCUUUUUCUUGUCCUUUUAAUGUUUGGAACACUAGUUGGUUUCUUUUGGUUUUAGUUCUUGUUCCCGAGAUGUGGGGUUGUUUUGGGUACUUAUGGGUUGUUUUGUCUAACUACUUGUUUUGUGAGUGUUGUUCGCUCUUUUGUCUUGACCUCAGGCUGUGAGGUCCACCUUGUUGUUGUAUAAUAUUAUCAUUAUUACCUUUUCAAAAAAAAAAUCAAACUCAAUGCUAAGUUUGACUGCUGCCCUUCGAAGUGACAACAAAGCCUCGUUUUCGCCCUACUGUGGAUCGAGGAGGAUUCCUCCUCUUUUCAAAGCCCUCAAUCAAACUUGACGUUAUGUUUAAAACACUAAAAAUAGAUGGUCUAGUUUUGGUUAGGCCAAAAGCGAUGUUUUCCCCCAAAAUCUCUAAUAGCUAGGGAACUCAACAUGUUCUACUUGACCUAAUUGACUUGACUCUGUAUUUUUUAUGAGCUUUUUUUAAUGCAUAUUGCAUAUGUUUUUUUUUUAUAAUUGUUGAUUGUCUCACUUUUUUAUGGUCUGCAUUUACGAGCCUCUUUUAUUUCUUUGUUAUGAACUGCGGUGACUAGGCAUUGCUAGAACCGAUGGGGUAACAUUUCUAUGGUUCUACACUUAGUUUCUAAGUGUGAUUGCUCACCUCUAAUUUUCAAAACACUUAAUUUCUAAGCACAUACAAUGUUCACCUAGAAAAAAAAUGAAAAUUGUUGUAGUUAAGAUCAAAACUAAAUAGUUAUGAAAUAAGACAUAAGAGAUUUGAUUUUAACAACCUUCUCGUUGUACUUGGGAUCCACUCUGGCUUUGUGCUGGAAAAUUGGUUUGGAGCUGAUCGUAAGCUUUCGGUUGCUCUUCUGUAACCUUUAGAUACUCUUCAAAGCUAUAAGCUUUGCUUCCUGACGAAUAAUCUUCUACUAUUACAAUACAUAAGAAAAUUCUAUUUCAUAAACCCUGUAUCAUAAUUGAGGCUGAUAGAAUGAUUAUUCUAUAACCCUACGAUAGUUUCAUUCUUAACAUUCAUAGACACGAUGCAUGGCAGCUAUCCAAUUCUAUUUCAUGUUCUCGAGAAUGGCUCGGUUUAACAAUAAUGUUAAUUUUUGUUUUCUAUUUUAAAAUAAUAACGCUGCUUACUAAUAACUAAAUGUUUUAAGCCAUUUACAAAUUAGAUUUCAAUAAAUCGAUAAUCAUAUUUUUUUACAAUAUAGGACUAAAAAAGAUAACAUUUAUAUAUAUAUAUAUAUAUAUAUAUAUAUAUAUAUAUAUAUAUUACAUACAACAGUAUUUAGUUAAAUUACAAAAAAAAAUUCUUUUUGAAUUUUGUAGUUUGUGUAAAAAAAUAACCUUAAACUUUGAAAUGUUAAAAAAAAUUGUUUUGAACUUUUAAAAAUUAUUCAUAAAUACAUCUACAUACGUAGGAUGAAGGUAUUGGCAUGCUUCUCUAAAAAAACUUUCCAAAAAGAUGUUGUGUGACUUUUGAAAAGAAAAAUUACAAAUGGGGUCGUUUUUAAACAAAUUAGAUAUAUCGAGUUAUAUUUAUUUAAUUUUUUUCCUUUUUUCACAUAUUAUCAAUCACAUCUUACUUUUUUCUUUUUUCUUUGGAACCCUGCAAAAAUAACAAAAACAUUUAUAAUCACAUGACUCAUGUCACUACAUUUUCUAAAUUUUAAAAGUAGUAAAUUUAAAAGUUGAUAACCCUAUGAUUAUCGUUUGAUAGUCAUCUAAUAUCACUAAUUUUGUCAUAUUCGUAAUAUCCAAAUAAGGUUUCUUGGUGAGUCUAGAGUCAAACGUGAGGACUUAUACUAAAAAUAUAUUUAUAUUUUGAAAUUAUCUUAAGGUGAUUAAUAACAUACGCCUAAGAACAAUAGCGGUAUCAUCCACUUGUAAGGGGGGAGGGGAGUCAUCCACUAUAGAUAAGGUCCACUUGUCUCCCUCACCCAACUUCAUAAGGCUGCCAAAAGAGUUAGGCAUAAUCACAUCCACACGUUUACCCUUCUCUCGAACAUAAACCAACUCUCUUUUCUUCCUAAUAACGAGUAAUUUCAUCUCGAUUACCUACCUCCUUUUCCUUAAUAUGCCUAAUGGGGGAGCUAUUAGUCUUACUUUCCUCCAACUAUUUAAAGUCUAACACCACAUCCACAAGACACAAUUGUCCAUUCCUCCUCUUUGUUUGAAAACCACCUUGCUCACAUCCUUCUCUCGAUGAACUUUGUUUUCCACAAUCUUAGGACACUUACCACUAGAAUGCCCAAAAGACCGGCACAAAUUACACCUUCGAGGCUUCCACUCAUAAUUCACAGUCAUAACGAAAUCCUCUCCCCUAAGGUGGAAUUGUAAAUUCAGCAAGCAUAGGAGAGUCCACAUUUGAUUCAACACAUACUCAAGCAUGUGACAACCUUCGUCUUUCCUUAGUAGCUAGAUCUAAAGAUAGAGGUUUUCCUAUAGCACUAGCCACAACAGUCAAUCUGACAUCUAUCCAUAACUCCAUUGGAAUCCUACCUAGUUUAAUCCAUAUAGGAACAUAAUAAAAAACAAAAGGAUUUAGGGACAAUACCUGGAGUCCAUUUACAGAGGAGCAUACUUUUGCCAGCAAGAUGUCGCGAUCAACGAGGUAGGAUCCAUUCAACAAGUUUUGGGCAUCUGAAUUGGAAACAUAUGAGUCCGUUCUCAAGAAUUGUAAUCGUUGGCAUUUUAAUUUUAUCAACAAUAACAACGAGCUAAACAAAAUCCUCUAUCCAGGACGCACUAAUGAAAACUAAAAUGUAAAAUAAGUACGAAGUAAUUAAUUAAAACAGAAGACAAAAGAAACCCAAAGUAAGUUGACAAAAUGCCCACAAUAAGCUUCAAGAUGAGUGAGAGGGAACACCAAGAGAAACAUGAAUAGCCUUGCUAACUUUUCACUACUAGCUAACUACAUAUAUUUUUACAAUACGUGUUAGGGAAAUCUUUCCCUUUGCAAAACAGACCAAUAUAUAAUCAAUCAUUGGCUCCUUAUGGGAAAAUACAGAAGCCCUAUACAUGUCUGUUUCAAGCUUGUGUUGAACAACUUUUAAUUCCCUAAGAUAAGGAGAUUUAUCUGAAGGUUCGAGAAUAAUGGCAUGUCCUAAACUAACCCACCAUUUCGCAACAGUGAACCAGUUUGAUCGUUAGGGGACAACUUUUGAUAAUAAGCGCACAACCAUGCCCCAAUUCCAAUGUUGCCCAAAAGUAAAGGCCUUUCUUCACAAUGCUCCAUAAAAAAAAAGUUUGACUUUCACAUAAAGAUCUUAUUUCUUUUUUAUUGCUCCAAGAGAUCUAAUAGAUCUAUUUUCACCACGCAAAUCCCUUUUGUUAUCAUGGAAAAUGUGUUGGUUGUGCUCAAACCAAAUCUCUGCUUGCAACACUUUUAUCAAAUUAACCCAUGUUUUUUUUUAAAAAAAAAAAGAGGAUAUGAGUCUCACUAUUAUUAAUAUUGAAAAAUGAAGAGACAAAGCUCAAUGUCAUGAGGAUUAUACAAAGAGCAAUAGGAUGGAGGAUCAAUAGACGCACCUGGACAUCUCAACUAGGUUGACACCCCCUUAGCACCCUCAUCACAUCCAAAAAGCGACAACACAAGAUCAAAACCAAAAGCCACAAAUAGAAGGCUUUUUUUGUGUUUGUUUUGCCUUUGGACAUUACUCCUUUGUUAUGGGUUUUAGCUUGGUUGGAUAUGAUGAGGGUGCUAUGGGGGUGUCAACCUAGUUGAGAUGCCAAGGUGCACCCCCUGAUCCAUGGUUACAUGUUCAUUGUAUAACUCUCUUGUACUAUGAGCUUUUGUCUAAUUAUUAUUAUUAUUUUAAUAUUAAUAAAGAGGUUGUCUCCUUUUCAAAAAAAAAAAAAAAACAAAAACAAAAACAAAACAAAACAAAAGCCACAAAUAUAAAACCAAGCAAAACGAUAAAAUAAUAUGUCCAAAACAAAAUCAUAAAUCAUAGGUAGCAGGUCGAGAACAAAGAAGAAUAAGCCUUGAUUGAGCAAAAAAUCCCAACAAAUAUUGAAUGUUUGGAGAAGACGGAACCAACAUUUCGAUACAAAGACAUAGUCAAUUCAAAGGUGCUAAAUAUUUUUCAUGUUAUCAACACAAAUGGGGCAGACAUGAGGUGAGAGGACAUGGGAGGGAAGUUUUCUUUGAAGUACUAAAGCACAGUUUAAUUUUCCAAACAACGUAAUCCAUAUGGGGAUAUUUAUCCAAAGAGUGAGCUAAAUAGCCCAAUGAGUGAUUGUUUUAUAAAACAUCGUUUUGAAAUAAUAAGUAUUUAACAAUUAACUCUUAACAUAAAUGAAAUCAAACUCAAACAACUUAUCUCAAACUUUCCCUUUCAGUUGCUAUACCUAGAAUCGUCGAGACGAAAAACAAUAAACUAGGCAUAGAAGCCCUAUCCCGUGAUACGAUACUUACGAGAUGAAACUCUAGGCAUCAAUUGUGCCCUAUCUCGUUAUAACUACAAUGAGAUGGAAAACUAGGCAUUCGUACAGGCUCUCAUCCCUUGAGAUGGGAAACUAAGCAUCUUUAGAAGUCUUCAUCUCUUAUCUAAUACCAAUGAUGGAAAGCUAGGUAUUUACUGAAUAUCCAAAUCAAAUGACCUCUAUGCACAAGAAAAUAUUUCCCGAAGGGUUGCUAUAUAUCUUAGAAUAUUUUAGGUAUAGACUAAAACAUGCUAAUAUUAUUUUCAAGCUUAAACAUUUUGAAAACUUAGCACAAUCAUGAUUGCUUAUAAUUUUCAUUAGUAAAUUCAUCAAUAAAAACAUGUUUACCAAAAUGUUUCUAAAUUCAUGCUUUGGAAAUACUUUAUAAGUCAGUAUUCUCAAAUAUUCAAACAUCAAAGCAUGCUUGAAACAUUUGAUAGUAAAUUCAUGUUUAGAAAUCAACUUUAAACUCAUUUUUGUCAUUUAUAGAGAGUAGCUUGGACCCUUGGCUUAUAAACUUGUUCGAUCUCCUUCAGAUCUAAAAUAAUGAAAAAUAAUGGGAAAUAAUUCCAUUUAAUUCCCGUUGAUCAUAAAAAUAUCAAAACUUUGCUUAAAAUUUCCAAAAACCACAAAAACAGCCCAAAGACAUUAGCUUGCGUACAAAAUAUUGUGGCAGAAGUUGGCAGGUGCGCGUAGGGCUUGCCUUGCCAUGUCUCGUUCUAACCUCAUGUGCAGCGUGUCACAAUCACAACUUUUCAAACACGGAACAGACUAUUGUGCGACACUUGUUGUAACUCGAUGAACACGUCAGUUGUAUGAAAUUCGAUACGAUGUAGCCUCCCUAUAGAUUUUAAGAGAAAUUGGUUUUAUUAAACAUGAGAGAGAAAGGAAAGCAUUGGAAAUAUCGUUAAAAAAAACUUUGAAGACUGUCCAUUGCAAAGAGAGCUUAAAUUGCAAAGAGUAUCUCUGUGAUGAGAUUGGUUUGUGGAACCAAUUGGGAUGGGAAAAAUUUUAGAGAUAUUUGAGAGAAACUCUUUUCUUUUUGCCAAGAGAAAUAGCGUUAGCCUUAUUUUUUUCUUUUUUUAUUAAUUCAUUUUUUUAAGAAAAUUGUUUUCUUCUAGAUAUUAUAACUCUCUUUCCUUCUAGGAAUAGAAAAUGAAGUAGAAGAGAAUCAUGAGAUUCUAUUAAUUUAUAAAUAAUUAAAUUAAUAUAUAUAUUUCAAAUCUACUGAUUAAUUAAACAUUAAUCAAUUAGUUAAUAAUUAAUGAAAUCGAAUUUAAUUAAAUAAUAUUAAACUAAACUAUUAAUUAAUUCUCCAAUUAACUAAUAACACUAAAUUAUUUAUCUUAUAUUUAACUUAAAUUAAAUUUGAAUCAUAUUCAAAUAUAAGUUUCUCUCAAUAAUUUUAAUAUGAAUCCAAUUCACAUUAAAUUAAUAUUUGAACUCAUUCAAAAUAUUUUAUCUCUCAUAAAUUAAUUUUGAAUCAUCCCCAAAGUUAAAUUUAUAUAGUAAAGUUUGAUAAACUUUAUAUUAUAAUGUAUCACUAUACAUUAUACUAAUUCCCAAGUUAAAUUUAAACAUUUUAAAUUACAACCAAUACAAAUAAAUCUCAUUACCCUUUACGAGCUAGGAAAGGGACCUAAUGGACCUACAGAUCAGAAGCUACAACGAUCUAAGAUUAAUUGGCUAAACUCAUUAAUCAAUAUUUGUUAGCUUUGUGUACACUCCACUAAAGACUCACAACUGAACUCUUCUCACUAAAAAUAUAUUUAUGUGUCCAUGGAUAUAGACCAAUAAUAGUAAGUUAGUCCUUCACGAGUGUUUGUAACACCAGUUGGACCAAUUUACCGCUUUACCCCUAUGUUACCUCUAAUCCUUAAAAAACCAGUGCUCCUCUAAUGAACAACUUGUUUAUGGUCCUACUAAUAAACAAAAACCCAUCUCAUGUCAUAGAGAGGGUACGAGCCCUUUGUUCAAGUUUUGGAGACACCAUUUAAGCUAACAUUCAUCUACUUACCCUAAAGUAGGAAAUGAGUGAAUUCCAUUUUGUGCAAUUAUAAUCCCAACUCCCCACUCAGUCUUGUCCCCAAAAUCACUACUACAAAAACAGGCUCUCUUGACGGUUGUAGUUUUCCUUUCUUGACGUUUUUUCCCAAAAACGUCAAGAAAGAUGUGAUUUCAAAUAAAAAAACGUCAAGAAUUUUUAUGAAAGGCCAAUUUUCAACUUUCUUGACGUUUAUUAAACGUCAAGUAAGAUGUACUUUUUCUUGACGUUUUUUAAACAUCAAGAAAUAUCUAAUAAUUUUUUGACGUUUUAAAAACGUCAAGAAAUUUAUAAAAAAAUUCUUGACGUUUUUAAAACGUCAAGAUAAUUCUAAAAAAUCAUUGAUGUUUUUAAAAACUUCAAGAAAUUUUAAUUUGUUUUUGAUGUUUUAAAAACGUCAAGAAAUUUCCAAAAAAAUUAUUGUGUUAAUUUUCUUUUACAAAACGCAACGUUUCAAUUAGAUCACUUCCCCUUUUCUUAAUUAAACCUAAUUCGCCGCGACUUUGUCCCUUCUCCACCCGAAAUCAAAAGCGUCGUUCACCUAACCUUCCCUUCGCGUUCAUCUGUGCAUUCAUCUGCGUUCAUCGCCGAAAAAGACUUCCCUUCGCGUUCAUCAGCGUUCACCUUCAUUCAUUUGCCUUCAUCGUCCGUCACUUCGUCUGCUUUGCGUUCCCUUCACCUUCGUUGAUUUGCGUCCGUCUGUUCACCGUUUGAAAUGUGUAAACACAUUCUCUAUUCGAAAACGAGUAAACACGUUCACCGUCCUUCUGUCGCAUUCCACUUUCGCUAAACCUCUAUUCGUUUCCAAAUCCUUCAUGGUUACUCAUUCAUUUUCUUCCCUUUCUAAAGGUAAUAAUUUUCCUUUUUUCGUUUGUGAUUAAAAUUUGUAAUUUGGAAUUUAAAAUUGGAAUGCAAAAUUAAAGAAGAGGAAAUAUGCCUUAGAGAAUGGAAGAAAGGUUUUGCAUUUUAGGCUUGAAAAGGGGGGAUACAAGUUAUUAUAAUUGAAUAUAUAAUAUUUUGAACAAGGCUACCAAGCCGUGCGAAUAUGAUUCAUGGUUAGUUUAGGGAUUGGAAAGAGAAGGAUUGUGGAGUUUGUGAUAAUAUUUUUGGUACACUGGAGCUGGAAACAGAGAAUAUUAAAAAACACAUACUGUUAUACACAAUAUUAUAAUAAUACGAAUCACUAGAUUUUCUUCUUCGUUUUCUUUUCUUCUCUCUUCAAUUUUUGUUAUGGUAUUGUAUUGAGUUUUGUGUUUUAGAUUGUGAAUAUGGGUAGCUAAACUCUUAAUCCUGGGAUAGAUGUAGACAAAGUUUAUGAAUUAUUCUUUGUAAUGCAUCUGAUUAUCUGCUCUGAAUCUUUUCAUGUUUUUAUGUGAUUAAUUGUUGAUUGGCCAUGAACCUUAAUCUUUGCAUGACUAGAGUGGUUAUGAACUUGGAAAGAGCUAAUUAAGGAUCCUUGAGGAGGUUGUUGAAAGAAGUGGACCUAAAAACUUUUGUUUGUUAAUAAAAAGAAAAAUGAACAGAGAUUCAUCUUCGUGAGGGGUCUUGAUGUUUAAUUUAAUUUAAAUUGUGUAUGAAUUUUUAAUUACGAGCAUUUUAAUAUGUUGCGUUUUAAUCCUAGGGAUAGAUGUAGACAAAGAGCACUAUAGCCAAGGUAUAGAGUGAGGGAGAUAAGGUUUAUAUGUCUUAGAGAAUGGAAAGAUGGAAUUUGUGCUAAAAUCAUUAGUGUUCCAAAUACAAUUAUGAAUUGGGUAUAGUUGCAUUCCCCCUUCUGGAUUGCAUAGCACAUAAAUAUACUCUCAUGGAUUGCAUAGCACAUAAAUAUACUAUCAAAAACAAUAACAUAAAACACAAACUUGAUUUAGUUUCAUUCACACUUGUACACCAACAUGUUUCAAUUAAUGAUCAUAUAUUAAAAAUCAUUUUCAAAUUUGGUAAUAUAAAAUGGAAGAAGUGAGACCUUGAGGUUUUAACCACCAAUACUAUCUAACUGAUGAGUUUAUGAUUUUUGUUUCUAUUGUGUUUUUUCCUUAAGCUUUAACUUGCUUUAGGGGCAAGAUGGUGAAGGUCUAGUCCACAACCUUUCCCAAGAAUUUAAUGAUGUUUGGGUUGACCCAAUUAUUGUUAUUGGACACCGUUUUAUGGUAAUUGGUUGUUAUGGUUUUUAAGUGUGUUUUGAUAUCUUGUGUUAAAAAGUAAUUGCAAAAAGUCAGAAAAGUUUGUUAAAGAUUAAGUGUUUUUAAGUUUGUCAUUCCACUUUAAUUCUCACCAGUACUUGCUGAAUGGAAGCCUCUUGUCUAAGACAAUUCGAGUGGAAUAACUCUCGUGACUACCACAACAUUUGGGAACUCACCAAAUGUAAGACUAUUCCUUUAUCCUAGCAUUUGAUCUCUCUCUAUAAUUUGGUUUGCUAUCGUAAGUUUGAUUAAAAUAAAUGCUGAUAAUUCAACUCCAAUGUUCUUAUUUUCUUAACUCUCAUUCAGUCAGUUAGAAUCAGAACUCAUUUAUUUAUCUUGUCUCCAUAAUUUGGAUUCAAAGAUUCAUCACAAUAAUCUUCUCAACAACAUUCUUGAAAAGGUAUUGAAUUUUCAACUGUGUGACCUUUAUACACAAAUUUCUUCAAAGAAAUUUACAUUCUUUAGAGUUUAGAGCUUUGAAUUCUAGUACAACUUAUGAAGCUUUUGAUACUUGUUAGACUUUUUUGCUUGGUGCGGAUAAAACCUUAUUUACAUUCUUUCUUUCCUGCAUGUUCUCUUUUGAUAUUUGUUAGACUUUUUUGCUUGGUUGUCCUUAGUGUUUUCCUCUUUAGCUGAAAUUUCUCUAUCUUGAAAAAAAUAGAGCUUUAAAAUUCAACUUCAACUUUAUUUGAUACUAUCUUAGUCCAUACUUAUUUUGGUAUUUCUUUCCUUUCUCACAAACACAUCUAAGAGGUUGCCUUCACAAUAUGGCCAAAUUAACAAUAUGGCAACCUUUUUCAUUGCAAAACAUAUUAGAGGUUGGUUACUUAGUUAGCCUUAUUGGGUAAAUAAUUGACAUUUAGGUACUUUUUAGUUUGUAUAUUUAUAGAUGCCAAAUCGAUAUGUGAAUUUUAAUUGUUGCUUAUUUGAAACAUUGCAACCAUUUGAUAAAAUGUUGCUAUGUGAAUCCAUCUUAACUUGAUAUAUUAUUUUAUUUUGGUUUAGGUUGUGGAAUCCAAGUUUGUAUUUGAAGUCAAAUUCAUCCAAGAUCAUUGAGUUUCAAAGCUUCUUUAAUUAAGAUUUUGUUUCUUGAACUAGAAUUGUAGUCUUGUGAUUUUUGGAAUAGCAUAGUUGGAUUGGUUUUGUAAUUUUGGGAUUAUCAUAUUAGGUUGGGGUUGACUGAAGUAGUGUUUUGUAUAUGACAAUAUCGAACAAACAUGUAAAGUUUUCGAAAUGUUCAUACAUAUAUGAUUAAAUGUUAAUAUAUGUUAAAGUUUUGGAAUUGUAUUCGUGCAUAUUUAUGAGAUUGUUGGGCCACACUACAAGAAUUAUAGAGACAAUACAGGAACAAAAAUAUAAAUAAAUUAUAAUUUAGAAAAAAAAUGAAACAAGCUUCAUGUUUUUUAAAUGUCAUAAACAAAUACAUUCUUGACGGUUUUUCAAUGUCAUUAACAAGUAAAUUCUUGACGUUUUUUAAACGUCAUAAACAAUUGUGUUCUUGACCGUUUUUAAAUGUCAUAAAUUACAUUCUUGAUAGUUUUUAAAUGUCAUGAAUACUCAUUCACUUGACGAUUUUUAACUGUCAUGAAUAUUUGUAUACUUGACGUUUAUAAACUGUUAAGAAUCGCUAUUCUUGACGUUUUAUUAACCGUCAAGAACUUUGACUUUCUUGACGCUGGCUUCAACGACGGUUUUAAAACCGUCAAGAAUAGUGAUUCUUGACAGUUUAAAAACGUCAAGAGAGUCUAUUUUUGUAGUAGUGAAUGAUAAGCUUAUUGAGUCGGCGAUCUAGCCACUCUCACUCGUACAAAUCAAAGGACAAUCUCUCGCGAACAAGAGUUCAUAAUACACUCAAGAUUAAGACUAAGUUAUCUAGGUCAUCCUAGUGAAAUAGAAACCUAACUAGUUAAUGUAGUAACACCAAGUGGUUACUAUUUCACGGUCUGGUCUAUUGCAAUCUCAUUGCAUAGGAUACCUUCACUCGCAUGUCAACUACAUGAACACAUUGGAUCAUUGUAUUUGUAUCAAAUACAAGGUGAGUCGUAUUCAUAAUGUUACCAGGAUAAAGGUACCCAGUCUUAUCCCUAUACUAUAGACCCUUUAAGCUGAUCUCGAACAUUGAUCCUUGUAUGUCUCUACAUAAUAUUCAAUACUUAUUAAACAGUUUAGGAUGUUAGUUUAUUGGAUUUGAGUUAUUAAGACAAAACUAAUAAUAUAAUCAAUAACAAUUAUUACAAUAAUAACACUUUAUUAACAAUGGUCAAUGGAUUAUAUUUACAAUCUACGAGUUUUAGGACAUAAAUUCCAACAAACUCCCACUUGGACUAAAACUCUAGUCUCUUUGGGAUGUUCAUAAUAAAGUAAUCCUCUAACAUUGAAAAUGGUAAAAUGUACAAGUGUAUUACAUAGAAUGUGUAUAUACAAAUACAAUAAACUAGGGCAUCCUCAUACCCAUUACACAUCUGCCACUUUUCCUAGAUUACCUAAUGUACAUAACUCGCAGAUCUAGACUUUCUAGAAGACCCUUGAACACUUUAGCCAUGAGAGUCUUUGUAAAUGGAUUAGUAAUAUGCCCCACUAUUAUCACAAUAUAGAGUGAUGGGGUAUGUUCAUGUUUGGAACAACUUCCAAAUUAUGCAAGAACUUCCUCAGCAAAACUGCUUCUUUUGCUGCUUCACAAGUAUCAAUAUACUCAACUUUCAUAAUAGAGUGUGUAAUGACGCGUGGCUCAGGCUGCUUGAUCAUGCUAGGACAUGCUUUCUGCAUGUCCGAAGCCUAAAUAACCUCUUUCGCUCAAAACACACGCUCAUCUCACCUUGUCAUCCUGGCAAUCAACCCACCCUUGGCCUUGCCUAGAAAUAUGAUUUUUCUACCAGAAACUUAACUCGACUUUGAAGCUUAAAUCAAUAAGAUUCCUUCUACAAACUUACUUAGAAUGUCUUCACUAGCUUACCACAAAGUGUCACUAACAAAUUCCAAGUAUUGAGUUAUGUAGCUCCAAAAUACUCUAACAUUGUUUAGGUUUUUUUUUUUUUUUUUUUUUUUCUGAAAAUGACCUUUGAGUCUUUCUUCACUUCAAUGCCUUUCUUCCUGGUAGCCUUUCUCCUGAUACUACACUCAAUUUAGGAGAUUUUCGAAGUAGAGUUACCCAAUUAACACAAGUUGAUUGUUAACAUAAUUCGUCCAAAGUUGUACAUAUAGUGAUCCUUGCAUGCUCUUUGGUUGACACUUUUAUUAUCACCUCUUACGCCUAUACUUGCCACUUUCCACCUCAUGCAAGACACUUAUUUGGCAAAACUUAGGUAUCUUGUAUGUUGUCCACUUGUACUCUACCGCACAUCUUACCUCAUAUUGCUUAAGUCAUCCUUGGACGCAUAUCCCUUUUUCUAUAAGGGUUCUUUAGUAAAUUCUUACUGCCAAGAAUGCCUAAGACUUUUUUUUCUCGCCUAAUCUCCCAAACAUCCCUCAAUGCCUUCAACAAACCAUGCCAUCUUGACUAGCAUUUGGUUGAAUUGCCCCAUUGGCCGCAUGGCCUAUGUCCACAUAGCCCACCUCUUUGUUGCAUGACAUUCCUUAUCCACGUUCUAACUUCUUUAGAGUUUCUUGACAUUUCCUAGAUGCUUAGCUUCCUUGCCUAGCGCAUACCCUUGGUCAUAUAGCCUUGUCUUAUAGAGGUUGUCUUGACACCUUUCGGCCAUACCACAUCUCAACCUUUGGCCACCCAACAUGUCUCUUUAGAGGUUCGCUUGACACUUUUGGCCGCCUAGAGUAUGCAACAUGCCCUAGCUAACACUUAGCCAAUUUUCGAACACCCUUUAGGCCUUUCUUUGUUACGAUGACACUUUUCUUUUGUCAUCUUAAAAAUAUUAACACAUCUUCCAUAACACUUCAACUAAACUAUCCAAUCUUAAACCAUCUUUCUCCUAACAUCAACCCCUAAUGUCCUAUUGAGUUAUUUAGAUGAAUUAAGGAUUAUUGGGUAUCGGGGUUUACACGCGAGAUGUAAGUCUUCCUCCUUGGAAUUACGUAUAGUAGUGUGCGGAGGGAGAGGAAUGUGAUGCAGUUCUUCCUCCUCAACCCUAAGGAAUUCGUCUUCGCUAACAAUGCCCUUUUUAUCGGGUAAGGGCUUGUUCGGUCAGGUCGUGAGGUGAAGGAUGUUGUUAUAAUGAUGAGGUAUUUGGUGGUGAGAGGAUAAUAUUAAAGGUUUUGAGGUGUCUUCUUCUUCUCUGCCAUUCCAUUCUUCUCCCUUAGCUUUAUUAAAGGUUUUGAGGUGUCUCUGUUCUUCUUUAUUUUGAUGGAGUGUUAUGGUUUGGUUGAGAUUCGCCUGAGAACAUGCAUAAGGGGUGAUUGGAGAAAAGCUAAAAGCUUAGGAACCGUCGGAGGAAGGGCAGAUCAUUAAUUGUAUGUUACGCCUUCCUCUGACGUGGUGGCAGCAACGUUGAGAAUAGAUUUAGGGAUUCCCGACGUAUCAUUAAUCGCGUGGGAAUAUGUUUAGGGAUUUCUGACGUUUAACAAAUCAGGUCAAGAAUAGGGUGCUAUUCCCGACGUUUUCGUUGUGCGUCAGGAGUUCUCUGUCUUUUUUAACUCCAUUCUUUACAUAAAAAAAACAUAAAGAGAAAGAAAAAAGAGAGGGAGAGGGAGACCGAGAGGAAGAUUGAGAAGAAGAGGGCAUUGUCAUCUCCAUUGCCGUCCCUGUUGUCGUCCUGUCGUCGUCGCCAUCGGUAAGUGGUUUAGUUUAGAUAUUGUUUUGUUUUAGUUAAUUAGUUUUAGUAUUUAGAUUUCAAAUUUGUUUUAGGUGUUAGAUUUUAGAUUUCAAAUUAGUUUUAGUAUUUAGAUUUUGAAUUAGUUGUAAGUUUUAGUAUUGAAAUUUAAUUUCAAGUGUUGUUAGAAUUUUAAAUUAGUUGUAGGUUUUAGAAAUUUGAAUUUGAAGUGUUGAAGUUGAGAUUGAAGUGUUAAAGUUGAGGUUGAAGUGUUGAAGUUGAGUUUGAAUUUAAAAUUUUCAAUUUGAAUUUAGGAAUUAAUUGAAGUUAUUUUUUUUAAAAAAAAUAGAGGAUCUCCCGACGCAUGGUUCCUAGACAUCUCUCGAUGCUAUAUUGACAACAUCUUCGACGUUCAUACAACGUCGGAAGAUGUCUAGAAACUCUCGACGCACAACAUUGUGCAUCGGGAGAGGAACUCCCGAUACAUUUUUCCUGACUUGUGUUCCGACGUAUAUUAGUGCGUCAGAAAAGCCUUUUCUGACGCUUUUUAUAUAUCUCCCAAUGAUUUUAUGCAUCGAGAGAGCCCUCAUUUCUUGUAGUGUUAGACAAAGAGCUUCAAUGUGGUAGAGGGGAAAGGCAUGACACCUUUAGGUUUCAUCAAAGGGAGGAUUGAGGUUCUGAUUACGGCGCUAAGGUUAACUGCGCCAUCUUCUUCUUAAUGCAAUAAAUCAUCAUUGUGCACUCUAGUGGGAUGGUGUUGUUGUCAACCAGGCAGGCGGUUUCGUUUUCAAGUCUUAGUUCUUAAUUCUUAACAACCUUUGAGUAUUGAUGCUCUACCCCAACCCUCAUCCAAAACGAUAACUAACACAAUGGUUUGGAAGUUUUUGUGAAACAUCAUCUAUACUUUUUCUUUAAUGGUCGAUGAAAAAAAAGUCAGGAAAAUGGUAUUUCUGACCAUUUUAAGUGUUACCAAAAUAUCACAUUUGGUGUAGUAUGGUAUUGUUUUGAAUAUUUUUGUAAAAUAGUGGAUCAAGAAGUUUUACUAAGAUAAAGUUUCAUGUUGGACAAGAGGAUAGUGGAUGGGAAUUAAGUUGAAUGGUCCACUUUUUUUUUAAAUCCUUUAAGGUUUUAUGAAAACCUUUCACAAUACCUUUUCAUAAUCAUUUUGUAAAAAUAAUAUCAAAUCAUUUAAAUAUACCAAAAAAUUAUUUCAUUUCAAAUAAACCUUUCUAUGCUUAAAAAAUCAUUUCAUUUUGUCAAGGAUCCCGAAUCGUUCUCUACGCUUGGUCUCAUUACCUCGCGUUUAGACUACUGUAUCAACAGCAUCUGAGAACAUACAAAUUCGUCUUUGUUGCUCAUACCGCUAAGCUUUAUACGCUCAUUUCAAUGCAUAAGUCAGCUUCUUAUUACCAUGUAGUUCGUACACUCCAUAGUGGCCUUCACUCUUUAUGUGCACACAAAAGUUAGCAUCAUCUCAAAGAAACAUAAUAUUGAAAUCAUAGUCAUCAAAUCAAGCUUUAACAUUAUAAAUAAUGCUUGAAAACAUAACUUUUCAUAGAAAUCUUUCUGAAACAUUCUCAUCUGAAUUCUUCUUUCGAAUCAGUAAAGAGAAAUCGUAAUAAAGUUUCUUAACAUAAAUUCUUUUGACUGAAAAGCACUCACCAAACUUUACUAAAGAAGUCCUUCUCACAACCAUCUUUUCGUGUGGCUAAACCAACAACACUUUAGCAUUUCAACAAAACUCUCAUCAUCCCCUCCUUAGUUACCUAAAUUCUCCUAUUUUAUAGAUCCCUUAUACUAACUUAGUCAUGCAAAUCCUUAAUAUUUAACCUAGUCAUGCUCAAAUCCUUAAUCUUACAUGUUAACCCAUGUCAAAUCAGAUUUGACAUUUUCUUUACAAACCUUGCUCCCCACCUAACCCAAACCGUGAAUAAAUUCAACCACUUAACAUUUCUCGUGAAUAACCUUAUCGCUUGAUUAUAUUUUUAUUAUAAGAAACGUUCCACAUGAACUAACCAACUUUUACUCGCAUAAAACUCUUAUCACGAACUUAAACUCCAAGGCUUCCUCGUAGACUUCUUCUCCACGAAAUGCUUGAUUCUUCUCGCGAAGACCACCCAAAACUCCUAGUCUAACACUCAAAACUUUCAUUUCUUAACUUACGCAAAGACUUUUUCGCUUCUUAUCGCACAACUUCUUUCGCGAACUACACACUUAUCGCAAAAAAGUAUACUUAACCGUAAAAGAUCUUAUCACUUAAUCUUUCCAUGGAUUUAUUUGAACACCAACUUCUUAAUUCUUAGCCGAAUUUUACUUCCUUACUCGAAUUAGAAAUGGGUCGCACAACUUCCUUCGCAAACUACCCACUGAAUCGCAAUAACGUAUACUUAACCAUAAAUUUUUUUAUCGCUUAAUCCUUUUCGUGGAUUUAUUCAAACGCCAAAUUCUUAAUACCUAGCCAAAUUUACUUCAUUACUCAAAUUAGAAAUGGGUCUCACAUUUAGAGCCUAUCGCUUCUUUAAGAUACAUGAUCUUACUGAUUCAGAGAAAUUAACCACAGGCGUUAUUAGUUUUGAUGAUCUGGCAUUGGAUUGGUACCAAGCACAAGAAGAGUUGGAAGUUUUUAAGAAUUGGGCUGACCUGAAAGAACGAAUGCUUGUACAGUUUCGAUCAAUUCGAGAAGGAACUUUGGUUGGAAGAUUUUUCUCAAUCAAACAGAAAAUGAAUGUAGAAGACUACCGCAACCGAUUUGAUCGAUAUUUAGCUCUAGUAGCAUUUCUUCAAACGGUAGUGUUAGAGGAGACUUUGAUGAUUGGGCUUAGCCCAUGAAUAAAAAUGGAAGUGGAAAUGUGGAACCGAUUGGGUUGGCCCAGAUGAUGAAAUUUGCGUUGAAGAUUGAGAAUAAGGAACUAGUGAGAAAAGAGUGUGGGUUGAGCAGUGCAUUUCAUGUAAAACUGCAACUCACCCUAUCUAUUGUGGAAAACAACAAUACAAUGAUGACUAAGGAAGAAACCAGCAAUGGAAAGUCUACUGAUGAGAGCUAUCACCCUGAAGGGAGUUACUGAUAGAACUAAGACAUGCACAACAGAAAAAGAAUCGAAAUUCUACCCUAAUUGGGCUUAAUUAACGAGACUAAACCAAAAAAUAAGGUUUUUAGAAUACUUACAUUUGAAGCUGCGUUUUAUUCGAACAACCACUAAGUUUGACUUAGUAUCCUCUAGACUCAUAAUCGAGUUGUGGGACCCGUUGGAUGAAAGAACCGGACGAGAGAAAUAGAUGAAAAAAAUGGGCGUGGUAAAUUUUCUUUUUUUUUUUUAAGUAAAUAAGAAAAAGAAAUUCCAUUUGGUGUGAAAGCCCAAAUUUAAUAGGAAAAUGAAAGGGAAUUCCUUGGAAAGUUGGUUUGUGUGUCAUUAAAAGUCAAGGUGGAAAACAAAGUACAACAUAUGGCUAAAUGUGAGAGUAGGCGUGCAAGUAUAAUAAAUACCUACCAAGAUGUUUAUUAAUAACAUGUGUUUGAUACAUAAUUACAACACUUUGACCAAACAACCAAUGCUUAACUAUUUUCAAAACGUCUGGUCAUCUCGCUGCAAAUCCUUCAACCUUCUUCUCUACUUGGCCUAAACACCUCAUCUUGGAAGAUGAAUUUUUGAAAGAAUGUCUAAAAGACUAAGGUUUUAUGAAAUCCUUUUCGCAAUACCUUUUCAUAAACAUCAUUUCGCAUAAACAACAUCAAAUAAUUUUAUCUCGCAUAAACCUUUCUUUAUCCUUAACAUACUCAUAACAUAACAAUUUCACAUAAACACACAUUAGUUAACAUUCAUUCCUUUCACCAAGGAUUUUGAAUCGUUCUCUACACUUUGAUGUAGAACAUCUCCCUUCUUGAUGUUUCUUGAGUUUUAUCCUAGAGGAGUGGUUUGAAUUACCAUUUUUAUAGUUUAGGAUUAGUUAUUUGAAUUACCAAUUUUGUAUCUUGAGUUAGUUAUAACUAACUCAACUCCAAGUUAAACUAACUCAACCCCAAGUUAGUUUAACAACUCUCGUAAUCUCCAGCCUAUAAAAAAGCUUCUCAUUUUCAUUAAUAAGACAUAAAAAAAAAGAGGCAUUAUACAUAAAGAUUUCUAGCUUUGCAAUUACUGCAUCAAUUGGUAUCAGAGUGUGAUCCUAGCUCACUCUUCCCUAAAAAAACUUGGAUCCUACCACUCUUAUCCAUGGACGCAGAAGCCUCCUUCAACCAAGGCUUGCAGUUGGUAGAACAAGCUAUUGAAGAACUUCGAAAAGGGCAGUCGAUAUACAGCAAUCGUUAGUAGAAUUAACAAACCUUUUUACCCGAUUUCAUGUCCAACCUUUAGAAGAAGCAAUUCAUCCCCCAAGAAACCCAAUUGCAGCAAACCAAGAAAGACAAGAAAGACCAAUAAACCCUGUUGUAAACCAAGAACUACUAAGAAAUCAACCUAUUCACAUCCACAAUAAUCGAUUGUAUGGAAACAACGUACUUGGAAAUUUCUUAAACGAUUCUGACUCUUUCGAUGAAGACAACUUGCUGAACAUUCAUCAAGAACCUCAACAAAGGUUUGGACUUCGACCAUACUUUCAAGAAGAUCAAGAAAUACGUAUGAAAGUGGAUCUCCCUACCUUCAAUGGUCGAAUGGACGUGGAGAAGUUUCUUGAUUGGAUCAAGAACGUAGAAAUUUUUUUCGACUAUGCCAAUACACCCGAACACAAGAAGGUUCGAUUAGUUGCUCUCAAACUUCAAGGUGGCGCAAGCACUUGGUGGGAUCAAUUACAAAACAAUAGACGAUUAUUCGGUAAACAAUCUAAAGAUUAGCUGAAUAUCUUAUAAAAAGAUGUUGCCGUAGGCUUAGUGGUGACAGGUGAGAAAGUAAGCUGUAUCUUUUAUGACUCUUAAACGUUGAAGUCAAUCAAUGAGUUCCAAAUGCAAUAUUGGAAGUUUUCUUAAAUAUUUUGAUGCUUUUGCAUGUUGUGAAAGAACUUGGUUAGAUGUGAGAAAGGGGUUUAUGAGAUUAGUUACUUACUAUUCCCUUUUUCACUGUCAUUGCUACUCCGUAGACAUGCUAUGGGCUCGUGUUUCUGUAGAAUAUAAUUCAGAUGCUCUUUCUCUAGAAUAUAAUUUAUGUGCUUUCUCUACAAAUUUGAAGUAAUUUCUACUGCUUUUGCUAAUAUUCUCUAAAGCUUAUUCAAAAUGUAGUUGUUUAAUGAUUGUUCAGAUUUAAAAUAUAUUAUAGAGUUAAAUUUAACACAGUUAAUCAGCUUAAGCAUUUGACUCUGGUGUUCUUAAGAUAUAAAUUCAAAUCCCUAUAAUUUUAUCAUGUUGAUCUUUUCAAUCUUCUCACAUACCGUCUUCAUUUCAUAAUCUUGCCUACUAGCUGUGUAUCAUCAAUGAAAUUACCAUAGGAGUCCACAUGUGGUAAUUAUGGAUCUAGCACGAUAUACUGCGUAUCAUGUUGUUGGAGAUCAGUUUAAAUGAUUAACCAGUCUAUUGGUGGUUUGAGUCUUUUCUUUUGAAUCUAUAGGUUGUUCAAUGGUCUAAUAUUAACUGUGUUUAGAUUUAUGGUAAUUUUCAUAAGCCUUAAGAAAAGGUGUGCUUUGAUAAUCUUUUCUUUCUCUUCAGCAUGUUGGUAAUGUAGAAAGAUUACAUGUAUACUAUGCCCAUGGACUAGAUAGCCCAACCUUUGUUCGCGGUGUUAUUGGCUCCUAGAUAAGUAUGUUAUGGUUGAAAGAAAAUUGUUAAAUUGCUUGCUACCAGUUGUUUCAGUGGGGUAUAUCCCCAUCAUGCUACAAGCAAAGAAAAAUGAAAUUAGACAGUGGCAGUAUAUCGUGUUCUACUUAUAUAAUUUAUGACUUUCUUCUGCUUUUUGUUCAGGACCUUUGAACACAUUGUCCUUGUUCAUUACCGUGAAACACAAGAGGUUAGGUUCAACACAAUGCAUCUGCAGUUACUAAAAUAUUAUCUUGAGACAAACUUUUAUCAUUUGGACUACUACAUCUAUUUAAGAUUUGCUGAUUUUUCCUCCAUGGUUGCAAUAUUAGAACUUCAUCCAAAAUAAUGUUGUCAUGUGUGUCUUUAAAUUUUUACUGGCAGUCUGGCACCAUAUAGAUCUAGUAGUUGUGCAUGCAUGUCUUCCUCUCUAUCCUCCAUUGAAAAACUCGAUAAUUAUCUAUUUGUGUUUUAUUUUGAUGAUUUAAUCCAACAUUUAUUAUGGAUAAAGUCAGCCAUAAAAUACAUAUGUUUACUACUGCUCUUUGUACAUUUUAAAUACUAGAUUUCUUGAUGAUUGUUGUCUUUAAGUUGCUCUUAAUGUUGUUGCAUAUCGAGAAAUGCACUGUAAUUUCUGUACCAAUUUUAUCACUGCUUUUAACUAAAUCUUCAAAAAUCAAGGCACCACCUGGAUGUAGAGUGCUAUAUGGUGAUUCAAGUGUUGAGAGUUCUCUUUCUUCUGCUAUCCAUAAAUUUAUGGAAUGGAAAGGCAAUGAUCAUGACACUAUUUUUUGUCAGAUAAACACAGGUUUCAUAUGCUUCAACUCUGUGGUGCUUCACAGCACACGGAUAAAACUUCCAAACAUUCUGCACCCAAUAUUACCAUAAUGCAUUUGGACACUUCAUUAACAACUUCUUACAAUUAGCCUUUCUAUAUUGAAAAUAAUUCGUUGUCUUAACUUCAUGUUGCUGCUAGUUUCAAAAUUUUGCAUCCACAUCGUUGAACUCAAAUUCUGGUUCUGUCUCUAACCCAUCAACUCCGUGGCUUUUAUCGAGGAACUUGAUUCCAAGGCUACUCAUGUUUAUUCUCUUGGUGAAAAUGAAUUGUUAGGUGAUACUGGCCGAACCUGUCAAAAAUAAAUGAGUCAUAGUUUGUUUGAUCAUUCAUUUUCUAAUCUUUCUUCUUUAUAUUUAAUUAGUUGUUUAAUUUCUUAAAAAAGAAUUCUGGUUUAUUUAUAGUAUAUUUGGUAGUAUGCAUGCCUCAGCUCCUUUAAUGCAUGUCUCUUACAGUAUAUUUGGUAGUCUUUUAUAAUGUUACACCCUUUUUUUUAAUUCCUAAAACCUUUUAACUUUCCAAAUUUUCAUUCAUUCUUUUAGAAAAUUAUUUUCAUUAUUUUUUUUGGUUACAAAACCAUCCAUUAACUACAUUAAUUAGACAAUUCACUCCAAUAAUAAAUAAAUAACUUUUUUGGAUCUAAGGUCUUUUCUCAUUCUACAAAUUUAAUUUACUAUAUAAAGGUUAUUAUGCUAAUUGAAAAAUAUAUUUCUCUCAAGUAUGCAAUGACAGAAAAUUAGGUUAUAAAUAUAAAAAAAUAUAUAUUUUUAGGUAUUAUAAUUUUUUUAAAAAAAUUAUAUUUUAAAUUUUUAAUAAAACCUUGCAUUUGGGGAUUCACAUGUUGUUACUUGUCGAACCAAAAAAGAUAAAUUCGUGGUGAAAACUCUUUAAAAGCCCAAUUCGUGGAAGGAAAAAUUGAAGUGUGGCGUUGAGUUAUUUUGUUGUUGAAGAAGAUCAGUAAAAAACCCACAGCAUUAAAACUUCUUUUUGUUUCUUUAAGUAUAUUUUAGAUUGCAACGUAUUUUCUAUUUGGGUUUAGUUAGGGUUUCUCUUGUUUAUUCCAAGAUAUGCAUGGAUAGUUCAUGUUCGACUAUUUGGAAAGAGGGAUUUAUGUAGCACGGGUAUUAUAUUCUGGUUUUGGAAGUGUCGAGAUAAAUUAAGGACUUUUUUAAUCUUCUUCAAACAAACCUAUACGAAGGCGAAGAAUAAUUUGUGCUUGUAUUUUAGUCGGAAUAAGAAGAAACAUGAAGAGAAUGCCCACGAGGAAAAUGACCAUGAGAAAAAGUUGUGUAUUCCUCCAUCCAUAACUGAGCUCUCUAAUGUGUAUUCCUCCCUCCAUAACUGGCUUACUUUGGACUGUUUGGAUAGAAAGAAGAAUCCUUCGAAGCCCUAGACUUGUCUCUACCGCAUUCGAAAAUGCCAAGUUCUCUCUGAGGAUCUCUAACUUCUGCCGUGUUCACCGUCCGUCCGUCCGCGUUCACCACGUCCGAGUUUAUCUAAUAUAUUUUUCCAAAUCUUAAAGAAGAACUUUUGAUUUCAUUGGAGUUUAUCAUUAGAGGCAUUACUAUAUUGGCUGCCUCUCAGUGGGCGAUAGGUUUUCCAAUGGUCAUUUGAGACUGGUUGAUAAUAGCAAAAGUUAGAGCUUGAGAAGAAGGAGCGAAGAAAGUAGUGAAGACAAAAAAGAAAGAAAGCUGAGUGAAAAACGAAAAUUGACAAGGUAGAGAUGUGACAUGAAAAUGAUGAUGAGAAGUGAAGGAGGCACGACACAAUACUGGUACACAAUAACAAAGCCUUGAUAAUUAAAAAAAGGAUGGUGCCAAGAAAAUUUAAAUACAAAAAAAAUGAAGGUUCUUGCAAGUGUAUUGAGUGAAUGGGAGAAAGAAAGGAUAAAAAAGGUAGAAAGAGAGAAAGAGAAGUCAAGGGUAGAGAUACAUAGCUUUGUAUAUAGAAACUUUAUGUUUAUACUCCAUUAUACGUUGUGGAGAAUAUAACAUCCUGAUAUGUUUGAUUCAAUUUGAAUGAUGCAAUUAUUUAUUUUUCUGCAAUAAUUUCUACUACUUAAGAACCUAAAUUUUGAAAGCCUACUAAUUUUUCAGAAUUAAUUCGAGACCCCACUUUUGCUCCCCUUCCUACCUACGGUUACUUUUUGCUUAAACUUUAAAAGUUGUUUGAAAAUUUUUGCUGAAACUUGUAAAAUUUGUUUGAAGUUCGUAUAUCUCUCACAUAUUGCAAGGUUUCUUAAUUAUUUUAUUGAAUUUCCUACAUAAAUGCAUUCAAACAUGAGUUGACAUAAAUGCAUUUUGCUAUCAAGAGAGUAUACCAUACAUGCAUGUGUAGGACUUUUAUCCCUUAUAUUUUAUAAUUUGUCUUACUACUGUUAUUGACUGAUAUACCAAUAUACAUGUGUAAAGUAUUGAUCAUAUAAUUAAUAUUAAAUUUAUUACAUUCACUCAUCAAUUUAAGUUUUUUAGUCAAUGUAUGUUCAUGAUGUACCAUGGUCAUAUCAUAAUAGAAUAGAUCCAAGAUUAUAUAUGUUCAAACCAACUGGUGAUUUAAUUAUCAAAGAUAUUAUGAUUUUGUCCAGUUUUUUUUCAGUCACUACUAGAAAAAUGGAUUUUAAUCAAGACAUUGUGUCGUUGAAAAUAAAAGAAAAAAGAGGUGGGAUGAGGUACAUUGUGUUGUUGAAAAUAAAAAUAUGGAUUAUUUCUUAAAACAAUCAUAUUGACACAAUUUAAUUUAUUUCAAAACAAUUUUUGCGUCAUUAAUUAACAAUUUUUUUGUCAUUAAAAAAUUUUCAAAUGAAAAAACCUCAAAUUUCAAAAAAGUUCGAAGUGGGCUACCGAGUCGUUAUGAAGAACCCUUGCCCUCCAAUUUUUUGCCACUUGCCGUCGUCGAUUCCACACUCCAACCACUGUUGUCGUUGCUCCCACAACAAGCCUUCGCCGUCAAACCCACCAAUCUAGCCACUUUCGUCGAAUAAAUUUAUUUAGAAAUAUAAGUUUUAAUGACACUUGAAAUCAAGAAAAAGGGAUAUGAGGGAAUAAAAUGUGUCGUUAAAAAUAAAAAUACAAAAUUUUUUGUGACACAAAUUGGUUUUCUUGACAAAAUUUUCGCAUUGUAAAUAAUGGCAUAAAUUAUGUGUCAUUAAAAAUUACCCUAAUAAAAAAUCAAUGUUUUCCUUCAAUCAUAUGCUUUUUGAUUUAAAACAAAUAAUUCGAAGCUUUCAUCCCACUUGUGAACAAUGACCGAAAAAAACCUUACUUCAUCCCACAUCGUCACUGUCUUUAGCUCUCUCGCAAAUGCUCUCUGGCGACGUUCCCCCUCUCUCGCAAAUACUCUUCACGACUUUUUCUCUCUCUCAAAAUUAAGCUCUUCGCCCACCGUUUGAAGGAACUCACCAAAUUUGCAAGUAAUUGAAGAAUUUGUGGUCCAUGAGAUCGAUUAAGUCCAUUUAUGAGUUAGUUUGAUUAGAUUAUGUCACAUAUACAUGUAUUACAAUUAAGGGACACUUGCGAAAAUGGCAAAAUAAGUUAUAAUAAUUAAGUCCAUAGAACACAUACUUUAUUAUUUGAGAAAGUGACAAAAACAAAGACCAACUGUAACGACCCAACUUUUCUAGGUAAGUCGAGGUCGUUAAUUUUUGACAAAAGACUUUGGUUGAUACAAAAUGAAAUGUAAGCCAAUUGAAAAACAACUUUAAGUCAGGCCUGAUUUUCAAAUAUUCCAAAAACUUAAAAAAAGUACUAUUUACAAAUAAAAGUUUGUAAGCUAAGUUUCAAUACAACGUCUUAAACCUAAAAC